rnacentral:lncRNA from 1 species
UACCGGUAUUCACCAACAACAAGAACAGGCCAUACUUAAUAAUUCCACCCUGAGGAUUCUCUCUCUCUAAGACACCUUGGGCUAAGGGAAACUCAUAAAUACCUAUGAUCUUUUGUUACUUCAAUCGGAACCAUCAAACUCUGUUCUCAAGUAGGGUGCAAGCGGGUAUCUCGGCUCGGGCUACUGGCUACAAUUCUCUACUUCUACAAAAGAAUCUCUAGUUUAAGACCUGUCCCCAGUCAAACUCAAGUAUCCUAACUCAAGUCCAGCUCGCCUACUAAGGUCAAUUACCUCUCUAUAGUGUGUUUCUCUCUUUGCUAAGGUUAGCUUGUCUGCUUAUCUGUCUGUCUAAUUGUCCUCUUCUGAUCCUAUUCUUGACUUGACUUUCUAUAAAGAGGCGCCGAACAAAGCACUUGUCACCAACAACUGACUCGACUAGCUACUACUAGAAUGGCAUCUGAUCUCUCUAGAAUGGCAUCUGAUCUCUCUCUGGUUGGCUUAGCCCUUGCAGCUUACUUCCUGGAUCCCGCUUCACUAGCAGCGUCUACACCUUUCCUAUAGUCCUAUAGUAAUUCAUAGAUCGGCUCCUAUUAACUUCUUGAAACAAGCCCAGCCCCUAUCCCUAACAAGUAUGUAACAGAGCCCAGCCACUAUGGUAGUCAAUAGGCCCAGAAAGGCAUAAAAGUAACUACUAACCAGGUCCGGCAAGCAUCAAACUCACUACUAAUAGAAAGGAAAGGUUAAGGCGGUAAACUCCCUUCCCGUCUCGUCCGGAGCGCCAUACAAGCUACUACUAAACAAGUCCUUUGUUCAUGGCGACAGAAGGGUGGCUCAUGUUGCGCGUUAGUCUAAUUGGUAAUCUAGUUUCAUCUGUCUUUGGUUACAGUAGAUGUUAGGCUAAUGUGGUAGUUUCAUCCACAGUGGAGAAUCCUUUGUUUACUUCGGCAAGAUGUAGAUCAAAUUCCUUCUUUGUUGAGUCAGAGGAGAAGAUAGUAGUCCAGAGCAAUAACUAGAUUAGUAGCUAGAGGAGAUAGAGGCGAAUUCAGUUCAUAGUUGCCAGCUGCAAUCUAGGGUACUGUUUCUAGAGUUAUGAGCUUAGCCUACACUGAGAGCGGUGAGGAAUGUGACAGAGCAACUUCUCCUAAGGUUAUUACCAAGGACAGAGGCACGGUUUGUUAGAUAAGGUAAGGUAUCAACUUCCCCUUAUUAUAAUUCCCCCUAUAGUGAGUUGCAGAGUCAAUUCCAUGCUUUGAUGCGGGAAGGACAGAAAGUGGAGGGCCCGUAUUGAGCUCCUGAGAAAUCAUUGAUUCCUAACAUCUUUCUGGUUCCAUUGCACUUGAGCUUGAUGGUCGAAUUGAAUCUAGCGUGACUACACAUAUAGAAGUCAGCAACUUCUCACUCUACUACAUACUCUAAACAACAGAGCUUUGCUUCCUUUAAGAACCCCAGAAAAAACUCCAUUCUCCUAUGGCCCAACCACGGACAAAUAAGCCUUAUGAAGCGCUCUAGCACCUUAACCUCUCUCAUCGCCAACAACGUGGAAGACCUGAUUGAUAGUUGUUUCCGAAAUACCCCACUGCUUAUGAUCUUGCUUCAAACUAACUAACAAAUCCUUCUUCAUCACCUGGAUCCAUCGUAUUCUUCUAUAUAGGAUUAAACAAGAUAGGAGAAAACAAUAUAUAGGAUGAACCAAGAUAGUAUAAAACAAGGGAUUCAAGUCAAACAGUCAAAUCAGCAGUUGAACAAGUAACAGAACAAGAAGCAACUGAAUAAGCAAAGUAAGCUGCCCCAUGUUCUGAAUUUGCAGUUACAAGAUGAGUUGCGGCGUCUGCAAGUGCAGUUUCCGUUGGAAAAAGAGAAGAAUCAAGUGAAGCAUAUCGGCACCCCUAGUUCAUAAGCUUUAACGGAGUAGAGCAGAGGUUAAACGACUCGAAAGAUGGGUGUUGAGAAUGAGCACUCUAAGGGGUAUUGAGCCCGACUCAAAGGAAGGGUUUGAAGCCUGAACUAAGUUAAGUAAGUGUUACAAAGAAUGGAGUUCUUCUCGCUAACUGAGUCUUCGUUGAAUUGCUGCAUUUUCUCUAUCAAAUUCAUUGAACGAGGACGAAAAAGGGCUUAUUGUCCCCUUGUUUACUCGAGGAUUCUCUUUCCGUUCUAGUGUUGUCUCCGAGAAAAGAGAAAGAUGCAAGUGGUAGAUAACCAUAAGCAGGAGCAUAAUAUGGAUCAUCAGCCGAAGCCGAAUCGAAUGCUUACUUACAGAGCAGUAAAGUCUCUUUUCACUCACAACCUAACCAUUAGUUGUAAUAGGAGUGAAAGGCUUUCCUCGCACAGCAAAUUAGAUGGUUGACUUUAUUGACCACCCCGCGGACUGUCAAUUCUUCAUCAGAUGAUCUGUAUCCCCUUACUUGAAUGUAAUCCUUACUAAGAAAGAUAGAAUUGUCAUAGUGAUUUCUUUUAUUAUACUUAGUGUCGACAGUGUGUGUACUGUGGAAAUGCAAGCCUCAAACUAGCGGAAGCCCAAUCGAAUCGCAUCAGAGCCUAAUUCAGUUAUUCAAGAUGAAAUGGUAUAUGCCCGGUCAAAGGUUCUUCCCCGGUCAAGGGUUCUUCCCCAGCUAGAAUUCCUUCCUUUCAUAAUGGAGUUGGUUUCUUCUUUAUUUGGAAUUUGGUAAUGGAGUUUCCUCUGCGCUAACGGGAGAUAUGGGAUUGGCGCUCUCGUAGUGGGCUGGGCUCUAAGGAAUGAGUUCAAAAACGGAAUGACUUAUCGGAGUAGUAGAAUGAGCUAGGUAUGAUAGUGCUAUAGAAUGAGCUAGUUACUUUGGCACUGAAGAUUCUCUCUCUGAUUCGACAAGGGGUAACAACCAAUAAGGGCCUCUCAUAACCAUACUUUCGAGCUGUAACUGGGGCCUCUAUUUCUGCCCUAUUCUUAAGUACGCUUCCAAAGAUUCCAUGAAUUCUUCCUCACCCGGCCCGCAAGCACUCGACACUGAUAGAAUUCCUACUUGUGUAAGCAAGACAAGAUGUGUAGUUACCAACAAGAGAAGAGCAGAGGUGUUAUCGACCCCAACUCGUAUACCCUUAACUGCAAGUAAGCCUUAUUGUUAGUCUGUUCCAACUCCAUAAAGAAGAAGAGAAACUAACCCCCAUUUGAGAAGUGGAAACCACCAAGCUUUGUAUAAGAAAGGCGCAACUACUAACACUACUAAAGGACAAAGAGAGGAAUGAACUAAAGGACACAGAGAGGAAUUAACUAGCAGGCAAGUAAUUACUAACCAAGCUUAGUAGUUAGACCAAGUAACCACUAGACAACCAACUACUAAUGAAAAAGAGCAGGGAACAGGCUACUACUAGUGAGGCAAAGGCUAAGAGACGCAGCAGACAGAUUGAAUCUCAUCCAACUCAAGCUACUAGAGCGACUAUGGCUACUAUACCUCUGGCUCAUCUAACUCUUAUCCGACUGUUACUACUGAGCUCAAUUCUUCUAUAUACUUGUAGAAUUCUUUGACUUACUAGGUUAAUUCCGAUACAGACUACUUGCCUACUGAGGUGCAUUCUUGCACUAGAGCUGAAGUCUUGUUGUUACUGGUUGAAGUCUUAAACUACUGGGUUCUACUCUUGGAUUGACUGGUCCAAUUCUGAAACUUCCUCUUUGAACUCUGUCUCCCAUUUAUUUACUUACCACAACAUUAGGAUAGGGGCUGGCUCUUAACUAGCUGAUUCCCUUGCUGUGGACUUAACUCAAACAGGCUCUUCUAACUCUCCCUCUCGCCUACCUAGUGCUGAUGGCAAAUAGUACAGGGCACAGAAGCUGGGCCAAGCGUAUACUAAUGAGUUUCAUUCUGACCUUUUCACUUCGGGCUUACUCAUAACUAGAGUCUCUCUCCUACUAACUGACUCCUAGUAACAGACUUCGGGCUUACUCAUAGCCAACAACAAGAAAAGUACUGGCACCCGACACAAGAACAAAUACUGAUUCAAGUAGUUCCGGUUUUCUUCUUUUGUUUAUAGCAAAGCAGUCCUUCCUGCCCCGGUGAGGAUACCUCGCUUCAAAGAAAGAAACCAAAAAGGAGGAAUUCCACUCCACUCCAAGAUCGGAAACAGAAGAACGGGCUGGCUUACCAAAUCAUUAAACUAUCAACUCUAAACUACACUUUCAUAGCUUCCCGAGCCUAGUCACUUCAUGAAACCACUACAAAUACAGAAUUCCAAUCUAACAACAACAGGAGCAGUACUAAAGGGAUUCCACUGGCACCGAGUAAACCCUCUUAUGAGGGACAGCUACUGACAGGACUACUACGCCACAGUACUACAAGUCUGAAACUCUCACUCUCACAGGAACUCUACUUUAUGACUGGAACAAGACUGGAAGACGAGACGGAAGUAGACCUCAGCCCCUCUGGCUAAUGAGUCAGUUUCUUCCGAUCUAGUAACUGUACCUAACAAUUCUCUUACAGAAUUGGUUACUUCUUGUACUGGUUAAAUAGAAGAAGGACAUUCUCCGCUAGACAAGCAGACAAGACAAUAGGCAAGGAAGAAAAAAAGUACUAUCUGAUCUAUUUGCUAUGAGCCAAGUCACUACUAAAUGAGAUCUUUGCUAUCAGCCAAGGAACAUAGUUAGACCAAGUCACUACUAAAUGAGAUCUUCUCCUUAUAUAGAAAAACACUUCAUUUCAGAAAGGAGAGUUACCACCUAUCAUACGGCUUUCUCACAGGUAAAGUAACGAGGAAAAGCCCCAAUCUGGUUACUAUUAGUAUGACUAGUCGUUCUUUUGCUUGAAUCUACCAUUAUUCUUGAGUUCUACCUUCGUACGGGGACUCUCUUCGCCUAUCGUAAAUCUGCAUUGGCUCGGAAGGGAAUCGAUCUCCUGAGAGCAAAGUUUAGAACUCAUCAGUGGUGCGGGAGGCCAGCGGGAGUGCCUUGCGCAGUAAUCAAGCUAGGCUCAAUAUCCUGCGAUGGGCAGGCGGCCUAUUUCAAUAUAGUUCUUUUCUUGGAAAGCCACUGAUUAUCAAUUGCACCACAAGUAUACUAUUUCUUGGAGGAUGGAGCAUAAGGUCUUUUAAUUAGGAGAUGGAGCAUAAGGUCUUUUAAUAGGGGGAUGGAGCAUAAGGAAGAGUGGGAAUGCAACUAGUGAGAAUUGCACCCCUAUUAUAAUCCGUCAAAGCGCAUCUAGUAAUCAGAUCAGAAUUCAGAAUAGUUGCCCUUAUUGUAAGUUGCCAGAGGUCUAGGAAUUAGAAGUAUCAGUAUGAACCCAGACUCUUUCUACUUGAAAGCCCUCAGAGUUGCAUUCGUUAAUUCCUUAUUCCUAGGUGCUUGUCUCCUUGCUUGCCCUUAUAUUAACGCUGCUUGGCUGAUAAGGGAUAGAAUUGAGCUAGGUAGUUUCAGAAUAGAACUAGGGCUAGCAAGAAUCGAACGGGUGCUGCUCGGGCCGAUGUUGGGUAGCUAAGGUCUAGUAGCUAGGGAGUCACUAUUUAUUAAGUCUUCCGCGCAUCCAUAAGUAGCUAUAGGCUAAGAGUAAGCCCCUAUUUAUUAAGUCUUCCCCGAAGCCCUUAAGUAAAUGGGUAAGCUUCUGGUGUAGUUUAGAGUUGCUAGUAGAAUGAUUUGUUUACAGUGUCAGGUCAGUUGCUUUGCGGUAUAGCAAGUAUACAAGAGCUAAGCUAUAAGGAGCUCAAUACCGGCCAAGUAACUACUAAUGUGUAGCGGCAGUUUAUUGAGUGUGAGGAUAAGACGGAGCCGAGCCUGUUGCAUCUCUAUUUGAAGACAGAGGAGAGGAAGCAUCAGCAGGGGAAAGAGAAGGAUCAUAAGUUCUAUCAGACAGAAGAAGGUAGAUUGGGAUCAAAUGCUUCAGCCAAAGAAUCUGCAGGAGAAGACUCAGUUUCAACAGAAUCAGCAGUUCGAUAAUUUGCUGUUAGGUACAAAAAGUAUUUGACAGGUAGGGGAAGGGCGGAUUGCCUAGUAGCUUGGCGUGGGUAAUCGGAAAAACCAGAUACUUUUCAAGGAAGAAGAAAGUAAGUAUAAGGCUUUGUUGCGGGAAGGGAGUAGUUGACAGCUGCUAGUGGAGAUGAGCAAGAGGAGAGGUCCAGUAGCCGAGGUAAACUCAUCGGUAAGAGACUAGUACAUAUUGCUAUGAAAAAUCCCGGGAAAACGCAACUUUUCAUGAAACUAUGAUCGGCUCAGGAAGGAAAAGGACUUCGCUACCCAAAAACACGGGAAAACGUAAACUUUGAGGAUAAAUCUGGUCACUCAGGAAGGAAAAUCCAUUUACAACCAAAAAACACGGGAAAACGGAAAAGUAGAAUGAAAAUAAGGUUCUCUAUUAGCCAAAUUGUCUUCACUGCCAACAGCUCCUGCCGCUACACAUUAGUAGUGUCUUGGCGAUGAUAAUUCUAUCUCUUCUUAUUAAGGAUUACAUUUAGGAUUCUACUCGGGUGUCUAAGAAUUCCACCACUGCUAUCAAGACUUAACCCAGUACCACAACAGAACCAAAGCAGUAACAAAACCAGAAUGAGCCUCUACUGACCCGGACUGAAGCUAAGGAGUGAGAGAAUGAAGCUAAGGAGUCAUAGAGCUAGGGCGAGCAAGGCUAAGCACUCAGACACAUAACUCGGAAUGCAUAGGGAAGGCACCGAGUAAGAAUGCCAGUACUUUAUUAUGUAUCAAUUCUAUCUCAAACUUCUGGAUCAAAUGCUUCGGUUCGGUAUCAAAGCCUUCCUUUAGUUCCUUAUUCCUUCUCAAGCUUCGGUAUCAAAGCCAUGGUAAACUAAUUGGAUUUAGUCCUGUGUUCGCCUGCUCUUAUAGUAAGUUGGUAGGAAAUAGAGAAGGUGCUAAGAGCCGUUUCUUUUAUGCCCGGUAAGUCAACUAGUUCAAUCUGUCUGCUUGGCCUAUCUUCUUUUAUAUCUUCUUUUAUAUCUUCACUAAUGGUGUUAUACUAUAGUUGCCCGCGGGAAUAGGUGGAGCAGAGACAGCUGGGGGAGCAGUUGAAUGAAGUUAUUUACUGGUUUCAUGAAGUUACUCGGGGAGGCCGGUUUCAUUCCCUUAAGCACUGGGUAAACUCUUUAUCCCUAUGCUACCUGUUUAGAGUUGUUCUCUUAUUCUUAUAUUUGUAUUUGUAGCCUUACCCGCCUAGACAGAUCUCUCGACUCAAGAGUUUCUUUCGUAUCCUCCUGUGUCAUUGCCUUGAAUGCUUGGUGAAGUUCAGUAAGGGCAUAAGAAUUCUCAAAUCAAAUACUAGCUCUACUCGACUAGAUCCUAAACCUAACUCCUAGAUUCUUAUUCCUAUGUUCGAAAGGAAAGGGUACUCAUACUGACUUUUUGUAGCUCCAUUCUUUUUGUUGGGUUGGCGUGGGUAUUUAUCCCACUUAAGAGUGCAAUUCUUAUUGCUAUGUCCCGUCCACUAGCUCAUUUCUACUACUAUUGUGUUUAAGCUCUUUGACUUACUUAUUGAAAGUGUGUUUAGCUCUUUGACUUACUUAUUGAAAGAAGGUACUCCACUAGUAGCUAACGACUUUCUAUCUGUUCUUAUUAAGGAUUGAGCUGUUCUUAAUGGAGUUUCGAAAGAUAGAGUAUCCAAAUAGAAAGACAGAGAAACCAUCAAAUCACAGAAACAAUCAAAUCAGCCAAGACACUACUAAUGUGUCGCGGCAGGGCCGCUCAUCUGUGCCCGUUUGAUGGUCAAUCACAUAGAUCAAUUAUGGUCUAAAGUCUCUAGAGAAGAGAACAGAUGGAGGUAUCGGAUAAGAAUGAAUGUAUAGUAGCCGAAUGAGGCAAGUCAGGAUUCCACUCUGUAGUAACAGACCGAAAGGAAGAAUGGAACGAGGAAUCGGAUUAAGUGCUUGUGUUAAGCAAUGAUACAAUCUAUCUCUUUUGUAGGCUUGGCCCCUACUGAAUUCAUGAUUAUCUUAUUAAGGAUUGAGUUGAGAAAGAUCUUAUUAUUAAAGAGAAAGAGAAAGUUUAGAAAGAGGGAAGUCCUGUCCCCUUAAGUAAUUGCCCGGGUUUUGGUGAAGUGGAAUUAGUUUCAUCUCGGUAGUCCUGUUCGAGUAGAAUCCUUAUAUUCAGAAGAUCGAGUGAGCAACUUUAGGAGUGAGUUCAAGAGUAUACUAUACUAGCUCGACAAAGAAUACUACUAAUACAUAUAGGUAUCAAACGGAAUAAGAUUAGGGUUUAGUCAACUCUUGCUCCUCUGUUUGCCUUUGUAUACUACUGUAGUUGUUUGGCUGCCGACCCUCACUCUGUCAACAAUUCACUUCAUUCUUAUCCUAAUAACAAGUCUGUAUUUGGGUGUUCAUGGCGUCAGGCGGCUAGGAAAUCAUUCCACUCGACACACUUAAUCAUUUCCCGACCCGACCUGAAGUAAUAGAUGUUGGUUACUAACCCUAAGUGAAAGUACUAAUGGUUACCCUUACUAGGCAGUCAAAGACAAUUCGUUUUGUUGUUAGUUUUGUCGGUUCAUCAAGAAAGUAGAGUGAGGAUGCGAGUUCAAUCUAUGAGAGAGGUGAUUUUCGAGAGAGAUGAUUGAUUUGCUUUCCCUUAGCGCCUAAAGCUUGUUUCAGAUGGUGCACCACUUCUUCUAGAAUGAAGUAACAGGCCACCUCAAGCUCACUACGAAACUCCAAAGCUCACUGCUUCCAGCGAUUAGCCCACGUAGCGGUUAAGGCUCAAGUCUGCAGCAAUUGAAAGUCGAGUUCGGAAGUAACGCCAAAGAGAAGAGAGCGGUUGUCUACGAGAGACAUAGAAUCCGCAGCAAUAGCUUCUGAAUGAGUUGUCGACGAGAAAGACAAUGUCAGCAGUUCGCUUGUCAGCUGCAAUCCGAUCUUAUGCUUCAUAGAAAUCUGUUAUUGGCUAACCGCGAGUAAAGUUGUGGUCGGCAAAAGGUAUGCUGUGUAUUUACUUCUUUCUUUACUAGGUGUAGGUGCUCUAAAGUCUGGUUUUCGAGAGUCAGGAUAUGUAUCUGUAAGCAGGAUUAGGGGGUUUAGCAUAAGAAUUGCUAGUUCCAGGUCCUGUUGGAAAGUAGUCUCCGAGUUAUGUUGCAGCAAAUACAUUCUCAAUGUUCUAAGAGUGCUAAAGUCUUGUUCGGUUGUUGUCGUAAAUGGAAGUAGAGUUAUUGUUGAAAGAUCCGGUGAAGAGUCCAAUACUUACUUUGAUGCGCUAACGGGAGUUGAAUAUUGUAAUGCUCUGUAACUUGACUAAAUUCUUAGUUGCGUGAGCUACAGAUCCUAUCUUCUGCGCUCGACUCUCAAUCAGGGUUCUUAAGCGCCCGAGCCUGUGUACUUGAUACUUUUGUUGUCGACUUUCCUUCUUCUUUACCAGCUUAUAUACGAUAACUCCCUUCCUUAGCUUCCAGUUAGCGCCUAAGCUUGUUCUAAUUCCAUACCUAGAAAAUGCCUCCGCUUUUGACCUUGGAGUUGGUGACGAAGCGGGGCCAAGCAACUACGCCAGUUGCGCGGCAGGAGCCCGUUGCAGUGCGAGCAAGAAGAGAGUCUCCUAUGCAUCCUAUAUUGACUUAUACUAUGUGGCUUGGCUCUUGCCUUUGUAACGUUAGUAUACGCUUGUUGGAUUCCACUCUAACAGUCAAUUCAGCUGACUCAUCUCUGGCUUCUGUUUUAUAGAUGCUGACCCUAACUUUUGAUCCACUGUACAACGUUGCUUGUCUGACUUAGUAAUAACAAGUUCUAAAAGGAAAAGAGGUGGGUAGGUAGGUAAGGAGUUGCUCUUAGCCCAAGGUGUCAACUUACUCUUUCUCUCUCGUCCACUUUCCAGGAACUGAACCUGAACCACUUGUUGCUGACCUCUCUUGCCCUGAAGCAUAACCAGAAGCAGAGGAUUCGUAAGCGGGACAAUCAGUUGACGUUACCAACCAAAGCAGAGGUAUUACCGACCACAACUCGUGUAUCGGUGAAGGCCAGAAGGCUUAUUUUGCAUCGUUUCACUUUAACCCAUUGUGGAAACUUAGAGAAUGGCAAAUACACCAACCACACCAUUGAGGGUAUAUAACGGCUCUUCUAAUUGAUUUUGUAGCCUAACAUCUGACCGCCUUCGAUUCCGUGUUCUGUUUCUAUAGGAGUAUGAUAGGGCAUUCCGUGUUCUGUUUCUAUAGGAGUAUGAUAGGAGUCGGAGAAAAGUUCACUUGAAGUUCAAAACCGCUUGGAGCUCACUUUGGAAAAUGCUUCUGAUCUCGGAGACUUCACUCUUAUUGCUUCAUCUGUUGCUGCUGACAAAGGGUUAACUCUACUUGAAACAAAACCUUGCCUUGACACCUCUCCGCCAAGAACAUAACUCGAAGACUUAGAAACAAGAAAAGAAUCACCAGCAGACCUGGCUCAUGCUCCCUCAGCUAUGUAUUAUAGAUCUAACUAACCAACUAGAUCGUACCCUCUUGUCUUAUACUUCAUAGAAUGCGCUAGUUAGUUACGACCGGAAGGUAUUAAAGGACUAACUCUGUUGCAGGUGCAAGCGUGUUGGGGUCUGCUAGUGAGGUUUUGCAAGUACUAUAUUCUGCCCCAAGAACUGAACCUUCAUACGAUGAAACUAGAACAGAAACAUCAAAUCAUGCUCAUACUUAGGAGACUGCUGCAGAGUAAACCAAAAUGCAGAUAGAUCUAUCGAGCUCCUUUGCUGACGGUUACCUUUCUGUUAGCACACUUAGUAUUGAUCCGAAGUCAAACAAAUCAUUGAAUCUUGAACUAGCAGAUGAAGCCCACACUGCUGAAGAUCACGAUCCAGCAUCUAAACCGACACAAAUCCACAAGCUACGGUGCAAGAACUAAAGUCAAAGAGUAUAGCAUAGGUCUAGGGUGCCUCGCUGUGUUUAGAGAGUGUUUUUCUCAUUCAUUUAGAAUACUACGAAUUCAUUUAAUAUACUAUUGGUGCCUCGCUGUGUUUAGAGAGUGUUUUUCUCAUUCAUAUACUAUUAUGGACGCUAAAUGACUCUUAAGGCAAGGCCAGCAACGGAACAAGGGGAGGGGACUGAAAUCGCACUCAAAGAUAAUAGUCAGAAGUAUACCUUGCUUCGAAAAUAGUCAGAAGUAUACCUGGCGGAUAAGUCUUAAUGGAAUCUCUAUCUUUUAAAUAUAAAUAAGGAAUGGAAUGUAGGAUAAAUAGCAAUAAUGAAUUUGGAGCCUAUAAAACAGGGUAUCUCGGGCUAAAGUCUGCUACCGGGUAUCUCGGGCGAAAGAAGUGAAGUUGAUUCCUCACCACUCUAGCGCUCCUAGGAUUUCUAUGAAACUAGUAGUUCAGGGAGGGCUUGUUUAUUCGGUCUCAGGGAAGGGAGUGGAAAUGACUAUUACUAGGGUUUAGUUGCUUUUCGGACUAUAAUCAAUUACAUCUUAUAAUAAUAUGACAGAAUCAUGAGCUAGUAGGGUCUAUUCGAACUGUAUUGCCAGGUCAAGACUCAACCUAUCACCUGUGCACUCAUCAUCUGAAGGACGUACCCGACUAAGUACUAAGAGCAUCCGAUACCGGCAAGCAGACAAGACACGACUGAAGUCAACCCGAAACUCAGAAUGAAAUUGAAGUCGACGCAUUAAGGUUCAGGCUUCAGCAACAGGAAAUGCAGUAUCAAGUCAAUCAGCAGAACAAGCGCAAGGGCUAGAAAGAAGGAGUCUUUUCGGGGUGCUACGAGAGAGGAGUGGAGUUCGACAGAAUGAAAUAAGAAACUGCCCACGGAGCGGUAAAGUCAAUAUCAAGUGAGUAGCGCAAGUUCCCCUGCUUGUUGAGUAAGGGGUAGAAACAAGAUUCUUAGCGGGAUCAAUAGUUUGGUAAGAUAUCUUAGUUGGCUACGAGCGGUGUGUUUCUUCACUCAUUGGAGUUAGCAAGUCUCGUAUAUAAAGGAAGGGAACGGUAUCAAGUCAGAGGUCAGCGAAAAGUGUAGUUCCUGUUCUCGUAGAAACAAGUCGUCCUGUUUCAUGGGGCAGAAUAUCUUCAAUACACUUCAAUUCAUAUGUUCGUAUCUGAUUUUAUUGACCAGCGAAGUAUGUAACAUCCAAUGGCACAGUAUCCACCCAAAGAUUAUUAUAAUACACUGGUUCCCUCUUGUUACCAACUCAGAUUCCUAGUUUGACUAUAGUUUCCUUUUUGGUGAUGAAAUGUGAUAUACCCUCUCCUAUCUCUUUGCCAAUCAAUUUGGAAGUUCGAUUCCACAGGGGUCGGCUUAGUUCUAGAUAUAUCAGCGUAUUUUGACUCAAACCAUUCUUCAUUGACCAAUGAUUUUUCAAUACCCUUGUGCUUAAUGAUUCUUUUGUCUUCUUGAGUAAAAAGAGAAGAACUCUUUCUUUGGUGCUAAGAAGAUGCCUUUAUUUACAAUAUUGACAAUGUAUUCUAACUUACCUAAUACUGUGGAAGAUAUCUCUCCUUCAGGAAUAGGACUGCCAAGAACGACGGAGUAGGUAUCCGUGUAGUAACAGUCAUGUUUAGAGAUGUAUGGAUACAUAUGAAUCCGAGCACAAGCAGUGACCGGCCAAUUGAACGGCUGAGAUCCUUGGAGUACUCCAGUCAGAGUCUACGACCUGUCCGGUAUUGCUCAAGUAAGAGAGAUAUAGUUAUGCUCUGUCCCCAAAGAUGAAAUCACUUUUCUUUGUCAAAUGGUUAGAUCGAUCAAGAUUGCAAACCUCAGUGAUCGUGCAUUUGGGGUUCAUACUCAAUAUACAGUAUAGCCGAGUUAAUGAGUCUCUUGUAAACAUAGGACAUUGCGUCAUUACCAGUUCUCUUAGCUUCUUGUCUUCUAUCUAAUAUGGUGGAAACAAAGCCUCCGAAAGGACUGCUAUUCUUCUUUUCAAACAAGUAGCCUGCGACGAAUGAAAGUCUCUUAGUUCCGAUUUGGGAUAUGGAUAGGCCAGUGGUUUUGAUCGUCAUAGUUCGUACGAAAGAUAGUGAGAGCUAGCGAAGACAAGGUGAAUUUAGUGACGAUAUCUACAUUGUAUAGAGUACAAUAAAUAGAAAGAGCCUUCUGCAUCACACCACCUAAUAGAAGGAUGUCCUGUAUCAUAUAUUAUGACUAUUGAUGUUGGAGAGGGAGAAAAGUAGACACUCCCACAUCGUCAUAGGGGAUGAAGCCUUUAGCACCUUAUAGGGGAUAGAGAUUUUUGGCUAAGUUAUCAAGACUACUCGGGAGCUGUGUUCUGGAAUCCCUUAGACGGAAUAGCAACUUCUUACCAAGAUAGACAGCAAACUCGUAGAGCCUAUGGUUCCUCAUAAGAGGUUUUCUCAUGUACUUCACACCAUGAGUAGCUAAAUGUUUAAGUAAUAGAAUGCCAUCGAAUCGUGAUAAGUUGUGGAAGUAGACCGUUUGAAUCGAUAGAUUUUGUCUAACAACAACAGAACAGCUAAACAUUAUAGAAAGUCAAACAACAUCUUAUUGCUCCUUUCUUAAAAGGUGUCGAAGACUAGAAACAGGGGAAUAUUCCAGGAAAUAGGUAUCAAUGCCAUAGCCCGUCUCUGAAGACAGAUCAUCACCUGGGGGAACAUUAGUAUUAUUUAGGAUUCACAGUGUAAGUCCCCUAUUCCUAUGCUUGGCGCCAGACAAGUUGAUCAAUCAAAGCAUGGACUGGCUAAUCUUGCCCAUACUCUAUAAAAGAUAUAGCUUUACGGAUUCUAAAGGGAACUUCUCCGGAUGGUAUCCUCAUGACAUAACAAAUAGUCAACUUACAAGAAUAAGACUAUGGUAGUGUAAGCGUACUUGAUUAGUAGUCGCAUAACAGCAAAUACUAUAAGAUAACAGUCAAUAUAUCUUAACAAUGGCAUAUUUCAAUCCACUAUAGCCAUUAUCAAUCCAGGAUAGGGAUCCAUCUCAUAUUCAUUCUUGAUUGAAUUCCGUAAGCUGCCCCAUAAUAGAUCCAAUCUUUUGUCAUCAAAGUAGAAAUGUGUUGGUGAAGGAUCAUCUGCUGUAGAAAGUCCAGGACCAGGAGAGGUUGGAAAAAGAACGUUUCCUAUGUCUUUCAAAACUUCUAUCUUUCUUUGGUGCUUAGGAGAUUCCAUGAAGUAGUGCCAAGGGACUAAGCAUUUUCAAACAGGAAUAAAAAGAAGAUACGGCAGGUUAGGGAACAAGAUAUGGAGUAGGUCAAGAAUUAGGAGCAGUGGGAGAGUAAUAGGCUCAAGCUACAUCCGGAGUAGGAAUCAGAGGUUUGGAAGCUGUACCCUGAGUAGGAGAUAGAAAAGUGGGAGAGUCCGUAUCUUGAGUAGGAACAGAAGCUGGUGAGGAAGCUUCAGUAAGAGUCGGAAUAAGAUCUGAUACGCGAGUUGAGGUCGGCAAAAGCAGAUAGGGGUGCUAGAUAUAGAUAACGGUUCGGUUCUAAGGGUAAGAUAGAUAUUCCAUUCCUACAUGCGCCCCGUACCGUCCUGGGAAGUUUCAAUUCCUAGUUCACAUCUCCAGUUCAUCAAUUGUAGUUUGAGUUUGACUCGAAAGAAAGAGUGGUUUUGUUACCCUACCUGCUAGGUUAAUGCGAUACUAAGCAAUAGAAAUGAAAUGCAAGUAGACGAGAGGCAAAAGGUGAACUCGCAUUAGUGAGUGGUGCGCUAGUGAUAUAAGUGGAGCAUCAGCAGUAAGGUGCGCUAGUGCUUAGAUAUAUCUGUUUUGCCUCAGCAGGAGAAGAAUCUUGAGUUAGAGAAGUAACUCCUACCGAGAAAGACUGACAGACCCUCGAGCCCCUCAUUCUAGCACUCCCCUGGCGAAAAUGCUUUCCCUUUCCCCAUUAAGAUGAAGGAAGAGAAGAGCUCGACUCGACCCAUUCAUCAGUAAAGGGGCUUGUAUGCGAAAAUGAAAGGAGAUAUACUGAGGACGUUAACCCGCAGAUACCAGAAAAGUGGGAGUUUCUUCAAGUCAAUGUUUCAUAACAUAAACCGGCCGCGCCAUUCACUUUUGCAUUCAAUAUUGGUUGCUCACUCGAGAGCCGUUCCAGCUGUUCCUGAUGUCGAAUGAGUUCAUUACAUUCAUGCUUAACCUAAAUAGCAGAGAGAGGGAAGGCGCCGCUUCAACUCUACCGACUCGGGCCUCGACCUUUCUUUGACCGCUUUCUUUUCUGAUCGCUGGUCAAUUCCCACCCUAAAUGCUUAGCUCUAUCCUUUGCUGGCUGGUUUCCCAAAGGCUUUCAGCUCCUUGCUCUUUUCUUUAUUGUUGGAUGGAGAAGAACAAAGUGAUACUGUCUCUGGGCAUCGAAAUCUACGAGAAAGGGUCUUUCCGUUUUGAAGCGAUGAAAAGAGUGGAGUGGUUAGUUUCUUCUUGGAGUCUUCAAAUAGUUGCUUUUUCAGACCAAAGAUAAGUGCUUUAAUGCGUGGACCGUAAGCCCCUACUCCUAAGUUGUUGCGGAGUUCUACCAAUUUGUGUUAUUCGCAAUGGCUUGAACGAAUCUUACUCAUAAUCCCUCACUUACAAACUUUUGGCCUCCUAUUUAUUAUCCUGGGCCCUAUGAUUCUUGGACAUUUGUGCUAACGGGGUUGAGGAUUCAUUCUAGCUGGGGCACCUCCUUUUCUCUUCGUCUAUCCUUUCUGGCAUUGGUAAUCCUUUGAUUCUUCUCUGUGGCCCUCGUACUCAAUUAAGUUAUUCCACGUAUGUCUUGGAUGUCCUCAUCUUGUGGUUGUGGGGCGUCUUCUACUCCCUCGUAUUGGGAUUUUGGGGAGCUCUUUCAAUAGCUAGGCUUUCCAGAACUACACUCGGCUUAAUCCUCCCAGGAAGUAGGUAUGUAGGCAGAUCCAGCAUAUACUGUAAAUGUGAACGGAACUACAUAUAGUCGUUUUAGUAGCUGGGGCAGUUUCGAAAGGCUUUCAGCACCUUGCUCGCCAUAGCUAUUGACUAUUGUACUAUCUAUUUCUCUAUUUCUCUUGAUGUAUGGAUUCUAUAUAGGCUUCAAACUGGAGUUGCUCGCUAAGGAACUACUAGGUCAACUGAACAGGGACAACUAUGACGGUAAAGCUGUUUGUUCCACCUAGGACGACUGCCAAGGAGCGAAAGGCAAGUAGAGCACAGCGCAAAGAAAGUAUUCAUUCGACAGCAGGGCAAUAUCUUCAGCUCCUCACCAAACAACAAGCUAGCCAUAGCGAGACCAAAUGCUUUCUCAAUAGCACGAAAGAAGACUCCGGGGGUCUGGUAUAGAUUCUUUCACAGAAGAAAGAACCGGUAUGAACAAACCCUAGAGCUGGCAUUGAACUAUUUCAUACCAAUAUCUACUACUUCCUCACCAUUAGUCCGCCUACGAUCAGAAAGGAGGAAGGCUGGAACCGGCAUAGUUAUGUUAAUCAAUUCUCUUUCUUUCUUUCCAGUAAAGUAGGAUUUUUCUCUAUCCUGGGAUUUCCUAAUGUGCCACAACCCAGACUGAUGUAUCCCUCUGGUUUUAGUACUAGAGAACGACAUCGUUUUGACUCUAUGUUGGGAGAGUCAUUUUCUAUUUUACUCUAAAGAAAGGGGGAAGAAAAUGGUGGGGAUUCUUUUUGUAGUCCUGUUAGGGAGACUCCUUUUAUUACUCUAAAGGUAGACACAAGGUGAGAGUACUUUUGUGGAAUGAGAUACUGCACCAAGGAAGCAGCUUAGGGCAAUAAUCAUUCUUUCUAUUCGGGGAGAUGGUGAGUAACGAAGGAAUCUCUGUCCUACUCCUACAGCUAAGCGAAACUCAAACUACGUCGUCUCAGACAUCAGGUCAGACUUUCAAACGGUUUAAGUCACUUUGAUCCUAUAGCUAUUCUACCUCUUUUAUCUAUUGCUACUGUUGACUCUUUCUUACUUAUUCCUUCGUUGCUUUCGGGAAGGGAAGACACUAAGGUCUAUUUAUUCUUAUUAUCUUUAGAAGCGCAGUAGUGAAAGCUGUUUACAUUAUCUGAUCUCUGGGUAAACAUAAGACCAAGCCAAGAUCGACAUUAGCAGCACUUAGGCCUUAUACGGCUGAUUCAAAUAGCAGCAUAUUAUUAUUCCAAGUUAUGGAACUCCUCAAUGAUUGAACCGGCUUCCUUCACUGGCUUCGUAGCGUGUAGUGGGCGUCGCUAAGCAUUCUAUUCUGUCUGCUCUAUACGACAACACCUUAAACUCUCUCGUAGACAACAAAGUAAAGCAAAAACCUAACCUCUCCUCUAAAGGAUGAAACUAGCACCCGCAAACAGGAGUUGACAAAACAAUAACUUAUCCUCUCUACUCAACAAUACAGAUGAUUCUCGAACUGAAAGAAAGACAAUUAGGUAAUUCCUCCACUACAAUACUAAUACUAGCACCCAACAUAUGAAGUACACCGCGCUUUAACGCCCUCACUCCCUUAGCUUCAACGCCCUCUCAUUCCCCUCACUUUCAAAUGUACUACCCCCAUUUUGUGCGUCUACAGACUAGAUCUCACUGAUUCACUUAACGCAACACUCGCAACCCUGGCUUUCUACUCUUACGCUUAAUCGACGCAUGAUAAAAGAGAUGAGGCUUCUAUCGAAGAUUACAGCAGAGCACCGCGCUAGCUUAUUGGAGUAAGCAGUCAGGAGGUUGUUUACAGUUUUCUAUAUGUUUGUUAGCUAUAUUCGGAGUAAGCAGUCAGCACAGGAGAGUCAGGACAGUAAGGAGGUUGUUUCCAAUUUUCUAUAUGUCAGGAGAUUGUUUACUUCUUUCCAUAUGGUUUGUUAGCUAUAUUCUUUUCUAUAUGUUUGUUAGCUAUAUUCUUUUCUAUAUGGUAUAUGUUUGUUAGCUAUAUUCCUUUCUAUAUGUUUGUUUGCUAUAUUCCUUUCUAUAUGGUUUGUUAUCUAUAUUCUUUGAUUUCUUUCGAGUCGAGUUGUGCGCUCAAGUCUAAGCGCUAUAUGGCAGGCACGCAAAGGAAAAGCUAAUAACAGAACUAUACUACAACACAGGAAGGAACUCCAUUCUUGGGACUACAACACAGGAAGGAACUCUACUCUUGGGACCACUACUCGGGAAAGCAAGUACAACUAGGGAAAGCCAAAGAUACAAUAUUGAUUGACAACCCGCAUCAGAAGCACAAACAAUAAGGUAAAGGCCAUUCUCUAAGCGGGAAACUCUUAUUAUAGGGAAAGCUUUUACUGGGGCUUACGGAGCAGCAGCGGAUUCUCUUUAGGAUGUCGACUUUACUUGGAUCUUAAAGCUACCUAUCCCUUGCUUGGGUGGGGUUACUUGGAUUCUAUAGCAUGUGUACUCACCGCUCCGUGGGCUUCUUUAGUUAGUGGUGCGAAAGAAGGGAAAGAAGGGUGUGUGUUUUGCCUUAACCAAGUAAUGGUCCAGUCCAAGGUGAGCUCCAGUCUUCGUCGGCGUUAGUCUAGCCAUUGAGCGCAAAUAUGUGGUUUUCUUGUUGUUCGGGAUGCAAACGGUAGUUUUAGGGGUCAAUCCGGUAAUUUCAUUGAGGUGAGUGAAUCCAAGCCUUAAUAACUAUAGAAGGUUCCGGACAAAGAAGAAGAUCCGUAUUGGAAACAGCGCAACAAAUAGGAAAUGUAUUAGGAACAUAAAGAAAGAAUAUAGGCUAUAAUGCCUACGAACUGCCUUUUCUUCUUCAAUAAGUGAUUCAUCAUUAGCGGUAGGGCAGCUCUCCCAAAUCAACUAAUUCAGAAAUAUACAUUUCCACUCGCCUUCUAAUACAUUUGUAGCCUAAUCACUUCCACCCUUGCCGAACCUUUACCUUCAAGCAAUUCUCCACUCUCUUCAAACAAGCACUGCUCACACUUAUCUUAUUGGAGCAGAGGACGUCAGUGAAGGCGCUAAUGUAGUUCUAAAUAACAGGUUUGGUUUACAGUGAAGUCAGUUCUUCCAGUAUUGUUUCUUUGGGUUCCAGUGUUUUCGACGAGAAUGAAUGGCCAGUUCCCAUUCUAGGAUCAGAUGCCUGAGAAGGAUCCGUUUCAUCAGCAAUUACACGUUUUGAAGCCGAAGCCGAAUCUCAAGAUUCCAUAAAUGAUUUGGCCCAAUCGAAUAGUUGUGCUAGAGCGGAACAAUCAGAUGCUAAAGUAAGGGUAUCAAGGUGUUGGCACAGCUGCAAGCGGGUAUGAGUCUUCAAGUGUAGAGUCUGGCGUGGAGUUACUUGCUUCUAAGUAGGGAGUAGUCUUGAGUCCCGUUAGCUUUGAUAUAUUAGUUUAGCAUUAUUUGAAUUCAAUGACACUAGAGAUAGACUUAAAGGAACUAACGUAAGCACGCCCAAAUACUCCGUUCUGUUUGCUUCCUUCCUUUGAAGUUAAGAUACGAUAAAGAAGUGCGCUUCAUAAAAGGCCAUAAUCAAGGUUAAGGGCAAUUGUCUCUGUUAAGGGAGUUAGUGGAGUUCUUGUUUCAUCGACAAUAGCAGAAACAGAAGAACUCGCUAGUUAUGAUAGAUCUUAGUAAUCAACCCUGUGCUCCUGUCUAGUUUGAGGCAUAAUCCAAUCGAAAGGAAGCUGUAGUGAGAGUUUAGGUCGACAAAAGGGAUAGGGAUUCAGUGUAUUUACUAACGUGUUCUAUACCAAGUUUCCAAUCUUUGUACUGAUGUAAGUACUGAACUGAUGUAUAGUUCCAGAAGAGAAAGAAGCGCUUGUGCUAACGCUAAUGGGAGUUUCGGGACGCUUACCCUUAUUGGAGUAAAGAGUGAGAAGUGACUACUACUUUGGAUAAUGUGGCUCGAUAAUUCCAUUCAAACUAGCAAGUGGGAGAGGGGAACAAGCUUUAGGCGCAAAGGGAACGAGCAAAGAAGCGCAGUGGUCACACUUUCGAAUUAGUGAGUGAGAGAAAAUGGCUGGAACAAGUAAUGACGCAAGGGGCCUGGCCUCCAUUACAUUAUUUAGAGUAAGAAGAACAAACAAGGGAAUAAGCUUAGGAAUAAGUAUGAGUUAUUAAAGGAAGCAAAGCAGUGUCAUUUACGGAAGCUAUGUGAGGAGUUGUUUUGCUAAUUCGAUUAUUAGAUUCAUAUCUUCUUAUAUACGUAGUAGCUUUUCGAUUGGCUUUUCCUUGUAGUGGUCGACCUCUGGUUUGUCACUAAUCCUUUCACCCAUGGUAAACAAAGAGAAUGGCGCAUCAGAGGAACAGACAAUAAGGCUUUCCUUAGCUUCUUUCCCUUGAGACAAAACCCGCCUUGUUUAUAAUGAGCAAGCGAACUUUCAAAACCAUAUUGACUCUUACUCGCCCUAGGCUAGGAUUACACCAAUAAAGUGAGAAUGGAACUUCUCAUUUCGUAGGGUGCUUGCCCUUAAGUUAAUGGUGUUGGCGAAAGUAAGGGUUCCGGGCAGGAAUAUAUGACUGACUUUGAAAGCAGCAUGCGCCCUGAGAGUUAGCAGUAUGGAGUUUCUCCCCAAGAGUCAGCAUCAGUGAAUUCUUUGACUUCAUAACCAAAAUCAAUUACUUCCGAAGCUUACGGAGUUCCAUUCAGCUUCCGCGCAAGAGAAAGAUAUAUGAAAUGUGGAGGGUAUUAGUUUGAAACAAAGAUUAUUGGGAUCUGAGCAAUUCCAGUUUAGACCAUAGAGGCAUGACAUUCAGAACGGAAAACCAAAGAAAACACAUAUCAUAGGCGCCCCCCCGGAAAGUCAAAGAAUGGAAUGGCAAACGGUGAACUAUACUCGCAAACUCCAGCUCAAAACUGUGAGACUCUCCUAAACUCGCAAACUCCAGUAAGCGCAGCUCACAAACGCUAACUCCUUACUCCUACAUCACAAUCUCUUAUUCCACUCCUACAUAUCACAAAUUUCUUAUUCAUUCAUAUAGAGAUGCUAUAAAGAGUAAUCUAUUCCAUAAGCCCGAAAGUAAGCUAACACACCUCGGCCCGAAAGAAACUCUACACCCUAUUCUAUUCCUGACUAGCUCACGUAAGCGCCCGAAAGAAACUCUUCACUCUAUUCCUUACUCUAUUCCUUAGUUACUGAAUCUCAUUCUUAUUGAAUAUUAGUUUCUCAGAAGCAAACUAGCUACGUUCCUGAAAAAGAAGAGAUAUGAAAUGAUUCAAUGAAAGGAGAGGUCUGUAAGGUAAUCAUCUAUUCCUUAUGAUGCGAGGUUAAGUGGAUAGAAAAGAAGAAAAGAGAAGAGAAUAAAGGUGCUUGCUCCUAGGUUCGAGUUAGUGGAAGAAUCUCGUCGAUGAGAGAAUGAAUCAGCGGGUUUGUCGAAAGUAAGAGUAAGGGCUGCGUAAUUGAAGUCGUGAUUCAAAGCAUCUCGCAAGAAAGCGGUCUAUACCCUUAGCCUGCUCACUAUUAUACUCGCUCCUCUAGGUAUCUCAUUGAUUGAAAGGCACUUUUUUAGCAAUUGUGAAACGCCGGGCUUCCACAUAAUCUUCUCCCCGCUCCGUGUGUGAACACCUAUGCUAUUGAUUCUUAUAGCUCGGAUAGAAAAAGCAUCUAAAGUAGACAAGAAAAGAAAACAAAGGGACGAACAAAGGAACGAAAACAGGACUUGGCGGCUUGGCUCUUUCGCUUUUUUUGUAUAUGACAAUGAGAUAUAGUAUAAGAGAAUGUUUGAACAAGCAAAUCCAGAAAUAAGAUAAUGUGGAGCCAAUGAAGAAGAGUCGAAUGACGCCCUGCCUUUCCGUCUAUAUCUCUUCUGAAAACCCUACCCGUUGUUGUGGGGGUAGCAAAUCUUUCUUUCCCUCGCUGGUAUUAGCUUUCCCUCACAGGUAUUAGCUUUCCCUCACAGGUAUUAGCUUUCCCUCACAGGUAUUAGUAUCAAUGCACCUUUCCAGUAUUAGUAGAAGUACCCUUACUACCUAGUGGUUUUCUUAUUGGCUGUGGCCGCACCCUCUCUCUUUCUUUAGUUUUAGAUGCAGCGCUGCUCACUUGUCUCCUUGCUUCCGCUACUAGUAUUUCUCCAUUACAAAUCCUAAUUUCACUGGUGCUAAGCAAACUCUCACUGCGGAUUCGGAUCUUUACCUUGGUGCUUAUCAACCUACCUCCCCCCGAUUUGAUUCUCAAUCUGCUCAUUUCUAUUCUGAUUAAUCCGCCGAUCGGUCUGCCCUGCUUUAAAACGACUUGACUUCUUUAGCUACUGAGAACAAGGCUUCCACUGCUAAUGGAAAGAGUAGAACAGUUCCCAUUAAUACAAGACUAUAUAUAAUAUAAGUAUCGAGUGUCAGAAUGGAAAUAAGGGUAUCGGUAGUGAAAUACUGCUUCUAAGACUACAACCAGUGCUUCUCAUCAUGAAACUAGGUACUCGGUAAUCAAACUAGUGACAGGUAAUGAUUCUAAGGUGGUCCACCAAGCCUUAUUACCUUCCCAGCAUACCACUCCUAGAGAUUAGCUUUCAACUUCCUCUCCAUACCAUAAAACAGAUAUGACUUUCUCUUAUUCUGAAACUAACCCUCUCUCUUUCUUUGACUCCCGACCUCGGGCCUUACUUGACUUUCUCUAGGGCUUCAACAACUAACAAGGGAUUCUUUAAACACUGGCAUAGAUCCUUACUUGGCUAUAACUGGCAUAGAUCCUUACUUGGCUAUAACUGGCAUAGAUCCUUACUUGGCUAUAUAAGUAAAGUCUACAUCAACAACUGUGGAAAGGCUCCGUUCGAGUGUCGGUGUGCAAUGAAAUGUUGUUUCUGUCCUAGGUAUAGUAUAAAGUAACAUAUCCAUAAAAGAAGCCGAAUCGAAUGCUUUUGUGUUGUCUCCAGGAAAGGACUCAUAAGAAGGUGUUCUAGCUUAGCUUCUUCUCGAACUUAAUACUAGGGACCCUAUCCUUUCUAUCCACUAUAUUCCAUUUCAUUCUUUCUACUCGAAGUAAAGUAUCCGACAAGAACUAAAGAUUCCACUUAUCUUGCUUCCUUAACGGAUCUUGUUCCCUAUUGGUUCCGUCUCUAGGAAAGGACUAUACUAAAUGCUGGUUUGAAAGCCUAAUACUCGAAAUCCAUCUGGUGGAGCGGUAUCUCAGAACAAGGCAGGUGCUAAAGUAUGAGUUGCUUUGGCUAAGGGCCACUCUUUAAGCUACCUAUCCAUGAGGUUCCCUCCUACAGAAUCUUUAUUGGCUGGUGAAGAACUAACUAACGCGGAAGAUGUGAGUUAUGAGAAGAUUACUUGUUUUGAGAACUCAUUGAGGCGCUGGUUUGAGUACGGGUAUUAAGGAACAAUAGCAGAAGAAUCCGAAGCAACUGAAUCUGCUGUAUAAAGAUGCUGUUAGGUAUCAGAGUGAAGGAGCAAGUCAAGUCUUGGAGAGCCUCUAUAAUCAGUGCCAUUAGUAGUAGCGUGUCUGGCGCUUUACCUUAGCUUAGUAUCAUCUGCCCACAUAGCGGUUAAGGUAAUUAAUUCGGUAGGUCGCUCUCGCCGGUUCAACAAGCCGAGAAGAAGGAUUAGAUAAAGCAGCAAUAGAUUAUGAAAGUGUAGAGUCUUGAGUUAGUUGUCGUAAAUUAGAUCUUAUGCAAGAGGGAUUCCAUUCAUACUAAACUAAACACAGGUCAACCUCCAAUGCUUGAGCAGUAGCAAAAGUGGAGUGGAAAGAUAUUUGAACCUUGGGAAAGUAGCUCGCUAACGCUUAUUUCUACUUAACUUGUCUUGUGCGCUAGCUUACUCGGAGUGCUUAGUGUCAUUUGAUGAUUUGAUUCUUCUUCUUGGUUUACAUCACAAUCUCCCUACUUAUAGUUUAGUUGCGCUCCAAGUUCCAAAUGGAAAAUCUCCUAUCUCGUAAAGUGGCGUUCCCCUACUAUAUUGCAAGUCUAAAGUAGAAACUGUUAUUUCGGUGCAGUGCCUAUCUUAUCUGUCCUUAUUGUAUAGGUGCGGUGCCUCUCUGUCCUUAUUGUAUAGGGUAGGGGUUCGGUUGCAUCAAGCAACAUUCUAUAAUGGCAACAAGUGUUGGUUGAUUGGGAGUUUCCGAGUUUGGUGAUUACUCAAUUAUAUCAUGUGUUACUUCUUUCUGCAAUUCCUGUUUGACUGGCCCAUCAGUGCUUUAUAGUCUAACUGCUACAAAAGUGCUAAAGUUAGUUCGCAAAUCAGAAACUAGCCCUCUAGCUCGGCUCUUCACUGAACUUACCCUUACCCUUGCGUACCUUUGCUCGGCUCUUCGAAGAAAUACGGGGCGCUUAUACGCUUAAGUGAGUUAAGAGUCUGGAAGCAAAGCAGGUUGUUUAGGGAAAUCCAUUUAGUUGUCAUGCAUAUGUUGUAGAGCCAGUAGUAAGCUGUUUUGUUUCAACAAGAAAUUAGGUUAGCCUUUCUUAUAUCUUCUGAAUGCUAGAUGCCACUCUGAAAGCGCUAGGCUAGGCCCCGGCAACUCGCAAACUCCGUGACUUAUUUCUGGCUUUAGUUUACGCAAGAUUAGUAGUUGCUUUUUCCAUUGCUUGGUUCUAUUUCAUUUCCCUAUACAGGCCUGGAGCUGGCUAACGCACAACGUCUUUUGAUCUACUACAAAAAGCAGCGACUUUUACCACUACAAGGGUGUUUUCCCCUAUUUCUCUAAGGUUUCACUCAUGUUUCAAGGGUUAAUCAAAGCGAAGAAUCUAAAGUCGGAGCAAUCCGUUUAGUGACGUUAGAAAGGUGUUCAUUAUUUAUUAGUUCCACGACCCUUAACUAAAAGCAAGCCAAGCACCACUUUCCAACACUCACUCGUACCCGAACAAUACUUGAAGCCUAAUAACUCGACCAACGGGAGCUUCCAGGCAAGUACUUGAUUCUUACCUGAACCGACCGCUGCCACGUGGGUCUAUUUUAGGGUUAGGGUAACUCCUCCUCAUUCCAUUCUUUGGAACUACUAACGCAAAGCCUCAAUUGAACCGCCUCUGAUUCUAUAGACGAUGAAAGUCAAGUACCUAAAGAGAAAGACUCUCCUAAAGCCAAAGAGAAAGACUCUCAAAAAGUGAGAACCGCACGAUGACACUCAACUUGAAGUGAAGCUGACCCCCGCUAUACAAUGAAAGUAGACUUGCUGUUUUUAUCUGAUAACUAUUUCGAGCGCUAAGGGAAACGAGAAUGGAGUCUUUGAAACGCCUUGUUUCAUUUGAAUUGAACUCUCUUGCAUCGCAUCUACAUCUAAGUUAUUAAUCUUAUGCCAUACCACUAACUUGAUACUCAGCCUCUGCUGUUUAGCAUUCAGUCUGAUCUUGACAUUCAUUGCCUUUCGUCGACAACAUAAGAAAGAACAGAACUCUAAGGAAUAUGAAAUGGAAGGCUUUAAGAUAUUCCAGCCCGGAACCCUUAUCUUUAUACUCGUUGGGAGUUCUCAUCCUUUGCUUUGUUAGUCCAAUUGCCCUUGACGAAGUUAGUGAAAUUCAAUAAGUCAUAAUGUCAGCUCAAUGAAAAAAGUGAGUUCUUAUCUUGACCCGAAGCGAAGGUAGCGUUCGUAAGGCUACAGCUUGAUACUGUUCCUUUGGCACUGAUGAAAUAGUGGGAAUUCAAGAUGCUUAACUGCAGAAAAUCAUUUCCACUUGAACACUGUUCUAAUAUGCUUAUAGCACUCACACCCAACUCUCCUAAUAAUAAUAAUAACUCGGUUAAAGCAACAAAGGGAAAGCCCAGACCAGAACCUAGACCACUUUCGCAGACAAUGACACAAGAACGGAUAAAACGUCACUUGCUAAGAACUAUUCUUCUUAUGAUUUAUGAUUCUUUAUUGGGAGAUUCUUCCCUUGCUUCCCGAGUGCGCUAUCGGUUUGUCGGUUCAGAAUCUCUGUCUUCGUCUUGGUUCGGAACAAGCUUAGUGAGCUCCGUUGUGUGUGCCUUAGGAGUUGGUUGAGUUAGACAUAUUCUUUUCUGUAGAGUAAAGAGAGCAAGCAAGUGGUGGAGUUAAAGGCUUUCCCGACUUGACGUUAAGGGUGAAGGUCCGUCCAUCUAGUCCAAGCAUCAAAGGUCAAGUAAUCUGUAGGCGUGGGCUCGCUAACGCACUUGUAAAAGCAGCUCACUGACGCUUACGCACAACAUCCAUCUGGUUUCGACUCCUUACUAACGCAAUAAUAGUCCUUUCCCAUAGGUGAAACAACGCAUAAAGGCAACUAAUAGAUUGAAUGGGGUGUCGAUGUACUGUAGCUCCUUUGACUUGAGUAUCGUCUCUUUGCUUUGGGUGCAGUAAAUUCCGUUAGCGCUUAUGAACUUCAACUUAUAGUAUAUAAACCAUAUAAUUAUUGAAUCAGAGGAUGGAGCGGGUAAGAGAAGAUGAUAGGUAAUUUCCCAUAAAACGAAAAAAGAAUUGGAAUAAUGCAUUUUGAACCCUAUAGUCACUUGUUAUGCUAAGGAGUGGGGCUUAUGGUGAAGUGACUUUCUACAUUCCCUCACGCGCGCAACUAUUCUGCAACGCGCGCAACUCUCUAGGGUAUCUCUCGGUCGAAAGGAUGCUUACCAGUGUUGGAGGCUUUGAAGCGGGGUUGCCAGUAGUAGGGUGGAUUCUUGAGCCAUCGUUCCGCUGCCCUUCCGUAGUAGCUUGGCCUAACCACUCCUGUUACACUUGUCUAGUCGUUACUUGCCUACUUGUCUAUCCGUUACUUGGCUAAUAGUAGUGACUUUUUGAGUAGCUUGGCCAAGGGCUUGGCUGUUGUUUUGUAUUACAGUUGUGUUUGUAGAAGCACUAGGACAAUUCCCUAUCAUAAGUCAAAGUAUUAGAAGCACCGGUCUAUUUCUUUAUUCGAAUAAGAUGAAGACUCAGAAGAGGGUUGGGACAGGCAGUACACUAGCUCAAUUCUUAUAAGGACUAGUUGUUUUCUUGUGCUACCAGAGGAUAUUCUGACUUUUGAGUAGGAUUCCCUAUUUCUUGGGCGUAGAUGCACUACAUCAUCGUACCUGAACUCACCGAUACUAGUAUAAGAACCGAAAGCAAGCAAAGGCAGCUUCAAGGCAGGGAUAGGGGGACUUCAAUCUAACAAGUCAGGAUCUAAAUAAGUAGUUACAGAGUUCAAGAAGCAAUACAGAGAAUCAAACCAAGGAGUUUAGGCCAGUGUUGAACCGCUCCUGUUAUGAGCAAGUCCGGUUCCACAGAUUCCAUUAUUUCUUAAAACAGCAAAAGGGGCGCUCAUCUUGUACUUGAAAGGACUGGGCGUUGAAAGAAGGCAAUAAUCCAAGUCAAGGCGGAGGGAAUCAAGAAAUAAGUACUCUUGUAUGGGGUGAACUCCAUUCCAUUCUUUAGCGUCAAAGCCACAAGCAACGGCUAAAGCAACGAUAGAAAGUGUCGUAUCUUGUAAGGUAUCAAGAGGGAGGGGAGUUUCUCGUAUCUUGUCUGGUAUCAAUAAAGUGUAUAUGAAGAGUAAUGUGCUCUCUUUUUGAGUCUUGUUCGUUGCGUGCGUUGUAGUGAGCGGUGACCAGCUGUGUUUUGUCAGGAAAGUAAGCAAGACGUUGUGCUAAAGAAGACUAAGUGAGAAAGUAAGUAACGUUAGGAGUAGUUUGGAAGCUAUGCUCUCUCUGUGAAACCCGAUCUUAUAGAACUGCUAGGCGCUGAAGAUGGCAUUAUCAAAGUCAGGGCAAUAAGAAAUACAGUGUUUUGUUACUACUUUAUAGGUUCACUUACAUACAUUCUGAACUCAAAGAGAACAAGCUAACAAGCAAAAAGUCACUGCUACAAAGCAAAGGCAAAGAGAGGAAUUAACUACCCCCGGAGUAGGAACUAAAGAAUAAGUGGUAUCCUGAGUAGGGGAAGAAAAGGGUACUAAAGUAAGGUUAUGACCUGUGACUUGCUCAUAACAGGAGCAGCCCUUUAGCACAACAGACUAUGUUGCUUGGCCGUUAUUCGCGGCAGCGACUGAAUGUUGCCCGUCAGCGAGUUCUAGUAUAGCGUUAGAGGGAAGGGCUUCCUCUCGUACACUUGCUCGUUCUGUUUCUUCACUCCAUUGCUUCUCCUUGUUUAAUUAAGGCUUGAAACCAACCAUGUCGUGGGCUAAGCGUCGCAUUCGCUUCAUAGUCAAAUGGAAACUACUCUAGCGUUCCAUACUUUGAUUCUAGUAAAAACACAGAACAAGCUGUAGUAUCCGCUCUUUUUCCGUUGUUUGUUUACUUGCUCUUAAAGCUACUGUUAGCACAACGUUUGGCGAACUCCGAACUUAGGUACUUGACUUCUAUCUUGCCCUUGCUUCUAGUGAACUUGUUUCUUCCAUUGGUUGUGCCUAUUACUCUAUUGUUUGUUAUGUUGCUGACUUUCCGAAUGGAAUUGUACAGAGAUCAAUGGAAUUGUACAUAGAUCGAUAGAAUUGUAGAUAGAUCUCUCGAGUCGUAAGUCUGGCGAUAGAGUGAUGCUUGGCAUAGAGAGUACUUUAUUGGAGCAAAGGAGAGUCCCAUAUAUUACCUUCUCUUUCUCCUGUUGAGCAAAGUGAAGUCCCCACCUUCUUUCUAUUCUUUCUGCUUGAAGGAAAGUCUAAAGUGGAGUAGACAGUAGCAAUAGAAGUCAGAAGUGGAGUAGACUGUUUAGUGUAUACAGUAGCAAGUCUCACAAGUCGGAGGUGGAUCGAAAGAACAAGCUUAAGCGCUAAGAGAAAAGAGGUGAAAGUUAAGGGAGUUUACAGCUACGUUAAGGGUAUACGAGUGAGGGUGCUAGUCUGGAAGUUGAAGUAGGUGAUUGUGUCGGCGACGCGAGAAGAGGAAUCCCCUGUUAGUAAGAUAAGUCCUGUCAGCACUAGUUUCAUCCUUAUUUAUAUCAUAUAAUACCAGAGUUUCAUAAGCUCUUUGCCGAUUAUCGACAAUACGGGAAGAGAUUGGUCGUCGAGGAAUGACAAUUCUCUUUCUUUUUAGACGAGCCAGGAUGCCACAAUUAAGUAAAUGAAACAAGUCUCAAAUUGGAUCAAGAACAGCCGACUCUUCUCUUAUUCUUAAGCGAUAGGGCUUGUAUUCUAUUGAAGGAUAGUUGGCUCGACUUGCUCAUCUCUACUACGACAAGAAAAACACUGACUUUGAAUAAUAAGAAGGUAAGCACAAAAGCGAAAUUGAGACCAGAUCCAACUAGCCUGCUCAGCGAGAGUGGGUUCUCCUCUCUAUCCUCUGCUUGUAAGAAAUCCUGUCAGUAAUGUCACUAAAAGAAAUCCAAUCGGUAAGAGCCCACUUAAGUAGAGACAGCCCACUCCCGUGAUUGAUACAAAUUCUCGAAACCAGGGGUAAGCAUCUUCCCUACCCUAACCUAUCUAAAGAUCUACCCUUUGACUCUCCCAACACUUAUUCAUUAUAGCGAACAUCUUCCAACCAUUAUCCCAGCUCAAUUACAUCGACCCUAGACUAGACUCAAUACUCUCUAUAAUAAUCCAAAAGAAUAGAAUGGCAAUACAAAUAAAUGCAAUCCAUUCGCGCCUAACAGCUUGAAAUUGAAAGUCAGCAGAUAGGGAAAGGCAGAAGGAAUAGCGUCCUAGCUCCAAUAAGGCUUCGUUCCUUAAGCGCUCUGAUCUACGACCACCGUUGCGCUAACAAAAGCCGUGUGUGUUGGUGACCGGCCGAAACUCGCACUACCACUAAUAACAUAAGGCACCUUUGGGCGAUGUUUUGAUCCUAAACUUGUACUCUUCAGACUCACUCUUUCCGUCUUCACGCAAUGAAAGCUAGUAUACUCACAACUAUAUAUCAAUUUCUAGAAAUCGUAUACUAUUCCCCAACAGCUAAAGCUUUUGACUUCUCUAAUAAUAUAUAUUGACUUCUCUAAUAAUGUAUAUGUAUGCUUUCUUUCUUUUGACUUCUCUAAUAAUGUAUAUGUAUGCUUUCUUUCUUUGGCAAUCUCCAUUCUUAUGCGGAAGAUUCUCCUUGUGUAUACAUGGUAAGAAGUCCCUAUUCUUUGGCGAGGGAAAGGAUUCUGGGGGAACUAAUUCUAUCGGGUCGUGGGGCAUAUUCCAAUUCCAAUUGCUAAUUGAGCGUUGCAAGGGUCCGGCCUAUAAAGACGUGCAACGAAGCUGUAAGGGACAGUGGGGAGAGUGGGCUAGGCGCAAACAUAGCCCAUAGUAUACGGGCCUAUUUACAUCAAAGGAGAGCCCGAGGAUUAGCAGGCCUCUUCGUUGCGCAGGGAGUACAGCUUAAUAAGAUUCUCAAAGAAGGUCUUUCUUUCCCCUUUCUUUGGCCUACCUCGGCCGGUCCCGCACGAAUGCGUCACACAUUGUUUCGCGUCUCAGUCUGCCUUCGUAUAAUAUGUUCGUAUAAUAUGUAUAAGGAAUAUCAAGCCAUUUUCUCAUAGCGCGGGGCGGUAGGUCAGUUGUCACUAGAUUUUCCAUUCCAGAUAUGGACAGCACUCACGUCGGGUGAACUAUGAACUCCCAUCCGGGAAGUCCGUUCAGACACCGGGUAAUCUAAAGGACCAAGCAACGGCAUAUAUUCCAGUGUAGUUCGGAAGUCAACUGCAAGCAUAAAGUAUUGUUCAAGUGAUAGGGCUGGGCAAUAGGUAAGGAAUGGCAGGGAAAGGGUAGAAAGGUUCUGGCUUUACUAACUAUUGAUUGAACUCUUGAUGGAUAACUAUUGAUUGAACUCUUUUGAUGGCAACUAUGAACUUCAUUCGGUAUACCUCUCCUCAGCGUGAGCCCUCUUCAACCCUUUCAUAAUUCCAUUUGCUGCUGGUUUUCUCUCUUCCUAGCGGGAUUUCCCAUCAUACAUAAGAAGUGAUGUUUUAGUGCAUUUGUAGUGUAUACCUGCACCCAUCUUCGGUUAAGCCCUGUGCCCUUAAUUAAUUCGUUCUUCCCGCUUCAUCUCCAGUGAAGAAUAGCUUCCCGCUGAAAAGCAAGUACUUGAUUAUUCCCUGCAAUUAAUAGUAAGGGCCCAGCUUUCCAGGUCAUCUUUCGAGCAAGUCCUAUUUAUCUAAUUGCUAUUAGAAAACCAAGUAGUGUUUCAUCCAACUAUACAAGAUCGGGAUAUCCGGAGCAAGUUGUUAUAAUCAAAUAAGAAAUACCGGCAUCUUAGUUCUGGUAUGAAAUAGUCACUACUUCCAUUCUUACGAAAAAGCAGUCAGUCAAUCCUUUAAUAAAGGCGGGGUCUUUCUUUUGCUUUGUCUGUUCUAGCUGCAAUCCCACUCACAAUGGAAAGGCUAGCACGACAGGAAAUAAAUGGCAAUGCAAACUCCCACCGCAUGCACUAUAGCCCAGGAACCGGCAAUACUAAAUCAUUGCGGAUUCGAGAACAAGGCCCUUCGCACCAAGGGAUCUAGACACUUUUUCUCCCUUCUUUCGAUUCGUUUUUUCGGAUCUUGCCGGGUAUUUUCGUUAUGCAAUCUCCAAAAGUAUGUUUGAAAGGUAACCGCUUGAAAGGAGACUACUUGAACUCGCUUAAAAGCGCCUCACUGUGCUUUGAAUAGCCAUUAAAGCUAGAGAUACGAAAGAGUAUUGAUGUUCUAAAGAAACAUCCCCUCCCACUGGUUUAGAAAUAUAGCUCGGAAACAUCCCGCGUGAGCGAGUGCAGCCUUCCAGCUCAGAUUGCACUGGGGAUUCUGGGGAAAUACAGGGGGGGAACUUCAAAUAAGACUCACUCCAUUCUCUCUGCAGGGCAAUAGAAGGUAAUCCCGACCUAGGACAGUAACCAACGAAGGUAACUUCUUAGCAUUAGCAAGGUGGCAAAGCAGCAAACGAGGAAGCAAGCGAGCACUCUUAACUAACCCGAAGGCGAGCGAAGUCACUCCCCCAACCAACUUCUCAUACAUUUGUGGUUUGUUUUUUCAGAGAAUAAAUGAAUGGAAUAGAUUAGAUUCAUCAACAAAGGGAUAUAGCAGCAUGAAGGCGACGGAACUUUGAAGCUACUCUUAACAUUCCUCUUCGGCUAUUUCCGAUCGGAUCUUGACAGGAGUUAGUGUGUGCAUUGAUGCCGAGAAUACGCUCUUUUAUAGAAAUGAAAUGGAAUCUCCGGCGCUUGAGCCAAGCAAGAAAACUCAAGCUAGAAAGCCCUCUAGUUAGCCCAGCCGUUUUAUUGCUUGUAAAUCAAUAGUUGCAGCUUUAGGAGCUAAUCUUGCUACGGAUUGAUUCCAUGAAAAGGAAGGGACUUUCUGCUGCUCGCUGAUGCUUUUAAAUACUUUAUUCCGGCUGGCUUUGGGAAGAGGCAAUCAAGUUUCGCUAUAUACCUCUGCCCAAUAGUUAAGUAAGAAAAAAGCAUAAGUUCGAUAUUCCAGUAAAUGUACUCAAAUUCCAUUGCUUACUAUUCUCAUAUUCGAUUUUCAAAACCUCCCAUAAAAAGAGAUUAGAAUACUCCUAAGGGAAAGUCCUAAUUAAGCUUUGCACUUCUAAGUCUCCUAAACCAAGUCCUACAUUUGAUGUAAAGUAUUAUGUAAAAUCUCCCUUCUAGAAAGCAGAGGAUAUGCGGAUGCUAGGUUAGGCGCGUCAAGGUAAUCAUCGGGUAAUCAUAUAAAACACUAACUUCACACCAAUCGGGGUAGUAAAUGUAGCCUUCUGAAACAGUAGGUAGGCGUACAGCUCUCAUGCCCUUUUCUUUUCGCCAGUAACUCAGAAAGGAUUGAUUGAAGCGAGCCCUCGGUAAUGGUAUGCGAGAAAAUAGGUAGCUGGCAAAGCGGUCAAUGUACUUCACCGUACAGACAAAAGUAUUGCAUCCCUAUACAACAUCAGUCGAGCUCGCUCCAAUAAGAAGGCAUUGUUUAAAGCUAGUUUGAGCAUUCUUUCUAACUGUAGUUUGGUUUCUUUUGAUUGAAUUAUCCAGUUCCUCACCGAGAGGCUCGAGAGACCUAAUUCCCCCAGGGCAUUCUCACGUUUUUGGCUAGACCUUGGCUUGGAUGUUCUAGUGAGCGUGCUAGCCGGGCCUCCACCAGCUCGAAGGCUUAUCUCCCUUUUCUUCUCUGUAUGCUGAACUAUUACCCUUUGUUCGGGUACAUGCCAUGCACUUAGGUUUGGUUCUACUCUGAUCUCAUCGGACACUCAAUGAAAGGCUUACAUUCCAUUACGAAGCGGGCAUAUAGAUAUGAGAGGAAGCAAGCACCGAAAUAGAUGCCUCUUCCAGCUCUUUAUUAUUGGAAUAUGCCUUAAGCUCUGCUUCCCAUGCACAUAGAGGAUAUAAGACGGAUGUUUACUAUAGAUCUGGAAUUGACUUAGAUGCUGGUUCUAAAUGCUACUUCAUCUUUGACUUUGGACUACAAAGAAGAACCCACCUUUUCCUCUACUAGCUACCUUUGGCUUCUUUGGCCUCGUCCUACUUUCACUCGCAUAUAUGUCCGGCUUUCGUUCACUCUUGAGUUUACAUGGAAGCUUUAGUGCCACAUGGCGGGGAUCUCCUUUGUCAAGGGAAAGGGAUGGCCCGUGGGAAGGGUUCAUCCUAGCUUGAUACUUCCUUCCCACAAUCACUGCCGUCUUGUCUCCGUCGGGAGCUCUUAUGUCUCUAAGCUCGUAACCAAUAGCUGUUAGAGGACCUAGGAGGUGUCUAGGCCUAGCGGUUUUACCUAAAGGAAUCCCACAGUAUAAGCAAUUAGUGCUUUAUGGAAUUAUGAGGAUACCUAUUCCUUUACUCGCACUAUUGACCCACAGGAGUUUCCGCGUACGAUAUUGUCGAUACGAGAAUGGAGUUUCCGUGUACGAUAUUGUCGAUACGAGAAUGCCGAUACAAGAUCAACAGCAAAGAUGGAAAGAAAGCACUAUUCUGCCAUGCUCUCCGUGUCGUCCGAAGUAGUUACCGCCGUGGACAUAGGACAAAGCUAGCUAGACGAAAAGCGGUCUUGUCAGUUUCCGAUUCGAUGGUUAGCGAUUGGGUUUCGAGUCUUUGCGAUGUGUGUGAGCACACUUAUUUCAUGCUAGUCUGUUCUUUCUGUUCCGACCGAUAGAAGUGGUAUUGUUUAUCUGUCUUAUUGUCUUUCUUGUUCCUCCAUAAAUUGUUUCCAUCUUGGAUUUGCUUGAUGAGUGGUUCAAGGUUGAUCUCCAUGUCAUGAGGCAGGAGCGAGAGAGGGUGGGAAUAGGUAUUGCACCCGCUAGAGCGUUAUUGCUUCCUCGGCUUGAAGUGAGGCUAGUGAUACCUUCUGAGUUUUAGGGGUUCACGUGAGCUUAUCAAAAUCAAUUGAAUGGCAAAAGUCACUAAAGAAAAACAAACUAGUUGUUGAUGGUCGAAAAACAAACUUGUUUAUAUGGUCUUAGUAGGGUAAUGAGAGUUUUUAGGACUUCGGAUAGCUAUAGCCUAUUGGGGCGUUCCAUCGAGUUUGUUGCUUACUAGCUAGCUCCUCGUACUCUAACAGUAAGGUUAAGGGAGUUAAGGAUACCAUUGGAUUAUGGCACCCGAACGAGUAGAGUUGUCUAUUCCUCUGCUUUCUGCUAUCUUGAGUGUCGAAAAGUCAAUACUCUAAUGUCAUAAUUGAUAGCAGGAGAAAUUAGUGAACUGCCAUUAUUGGUUAACUGCAAUUAUAGGUGAACUGCAAUUAUAGGAAGUGGGUUGUUUAGAGUGGAGGGAUUGCAUAGGUACAAUUAAGCACGAGAAACCUAAGCAAGAGAUUAUCAUCCGCUCGGGUAAGCUUUCAAGCCCCUGGACCUCUUAUUACCCGAGAAAACCCCAAAGAGAAUGAAAAAGAUAGAUAUAUAUAUAUGAAACAACCCCAAAGAGAAUGAAAAAGAUAUAUGACAAGAUCUGAGAUAAGGCAUUUAUCAGAGAGUGCAGGAAAGCAGAAGAAAGAAGAUUCAAUCUCCUGCCUCACUAAAAUAAGAUAGGACCUUAGAUAGGGGGUAAGUAUUGAGUUAGCUUAAGGGCGAGAUCUUCCUUGAGAGAGGCUUGGAUCUGACAGAGAGAAUGCGUACGAGAUUCGAAAGUGGAAGCAGAGCAUUACCUUCGACAGAAAGAAGGAUCAGAGGAUUACGGAGAGUUAGUUACUAGUUGUCAAGCACUACAUCAACUAAGAAAGCUUGCUUAAAGAAUGGUGCAUACCGGCCACGUGAACUUCAAGUAGAAAGUAUAAGACAAGGGCAGUGAUUUCCUCUUCUCCGACAGAAAAGAAAGGAUCGGGGGAAUGGGUAUGAACCCUAAGAUCUUACAUAACUCCUUGCACCAUACCAACACUAAUGAGGAACUAACCAACCGGGGGAAGAAAUCAAGAAAAAUAGAUUGUUUAGUGACUUAGUCAAACACACAGAAGAAAGAAACUCCAAGAAAAGUCAAUGGCCCGGGAGCCUAUUUGUAUAACUGAAUUGGAAAGCAAGAAGAAAGUUCGACUGAUAGGACCUUACAGAGGAUUAACUCGAGCUUAUGUCCUUACAGAAAGACCACUUUGAUACAUUUCCUACGAGACGGACUGCUUACGGGAAGGAAGCCAGAUCAAUCAGGAAUUGGUGAGCCUGGCGACCUCUGCUCCUCGCUGCUAAGACUAUCCGGUAAGCUUCCUAUACUAUUAUUUGGAUUGUUGUAGGGCCAUUUGCUAUAGCUUCUAAAGUCACAAGCUGCUCUGGUUCCCCUUUCUCUUAUCGCCAGUGAUAUAUAGCUUCAAUUAGGGUAUCGCCAGUGAUAUAUAGCUUUUCUUAGGGGGCAUUAUCGUCUUCAUGCGCAGUAAUUGCCAGCCUUUCUUCUUUGCACGAGCUUCCACAGUUGAUAGAUCUGGAGCCAGAGUGCCACUCUUUCUAAAUAGGUAGGACUUUCUCUCUCCAAAAUAGAACUUUGGUGCGAUCUGAAACUAAUAUAGUGAUUGAACCUAAAGUAGAACUAAAAGGAGAGAAAGUAAACACUCCGCCAAUCUAUAUGAAUUGUUAGUGGGGGCAAUGGUUUACCUUUACCGGAGGAAAUGCUAGGUUAUGGUCCUGUCCUAGAAACCGUGUCUAUAGGCCUCUAUUAUCCAAAUACUUAGUGUGUUGGGUAUUCAGAAUAUGGACUCGAGCAAUAAGGUAAGGGUGUCUAUGUCAAAUGGCAGACAGGUUUAGCAAUUCGUUUUUUGGCUUUGUUUGGCCGCUCGCCUUAAGGCUUCUGCCUUCUUUGCUUUUCAUGAGUUCAAGAGAUUAGCUUACGGACGGAUAGAAGAUCAUCCUUAAGGCCUUCUGCUGUGGGGGCGGGUUUCGGUAUAGGUCCACGAAUAGCGCUUUCUUUCCAAUAGAUGGCAUUCAUUGUAUAGCUCCUAAGUCGACUUACCCCGGCUAGUCCCAUUCGUUAGCUUAGUUGCUUAUUUUCGACAGCCAACAGCUAAAGGUGACUCUCCAAAGUAGCUAGAAGAAAGGCUAGGAUCCACAUCACUUUCUCUAUUUAAUGAAAAGACAUAACUUCUCAAGAUUGAUUUAGUAAAGAUUUCUUUAGGAUUCUCUGCCUGGUAACUUCGGAAUUCUUAUUUGUUUUCUUAUUUGUUUGACUUGAAUUCUGCCUCAUCUAUCGUUUAGCCCUAAUCCUUUAGAAAACCGAUGCCUAUAAUUGACGACUGCUUGCUUUUAGAUAAUAAUUGACGACUCUGCUUUUAUAUCUUUGAACGACUCCGCCGUGGGGCCCCACUGAAAUGUAAUGCUGGUACUAGCGCAUCCCCAAACAAACCCUAUAAGUAUGGAGCUUACCCUUUACUUAGAACAUAGAAGAGAUCUUCCAAUACCUAAAUUCCUUGCUUCAUUUAGAAGGUUGUUGCUAGGUUUACAUAACUCCGUCCUAAUUAGUCUUUCUCCAUCUAUAUCGAUUGGGGGCUUGAGCUUUCAUUUUCUUAUUUCAUAGUGGAGGUGCGUAAACCGAUCUAUCAGCAUCAGCAUGGGUAGGAGUCAAGACGCUUUAUUCUUUCAAUAGCAGUUUCUACGACAUGUAUAAGACUAGAUCAUGGUCAGAUCCUUCUUUCCAUUUCAUCUCGAUAAACUAUAGCGAGCGCACGGGAUUCACUGAGCGUAGCAUGGAAGCAAUAGCUUCGAGCAGGAGGUUAGUUUGAAGUGCGGUAUAACAUCGUCUCAUUGAUUGUAGUUCGCCUAAGUAGCGAGUCAGUCCAUCUUCACUAUCUUUCGAAGAAUAGAAUGCCACACUUUCGCACAUUCUAUAAAGCAUCAAGCUGGGCAUUCCUUACCCGAAUCAAAACCUUGAGAACACUUGAGAAUUACCGACCGCCUAUAGACUCUGACUAUUUUAAGGAAAGCGCCUAGGAAGGGGCCAAGCAACAUAGUGAGAAUGCUUAAUCAGACUAGAGCCAAACUCUAAACUAGAAGACUGUUGCAAGAGGCCUAAGAUCAACCCCGGAACAAAGGAUUAAUCCUAGAAUAAAGGUGCUAAAAGCCACUCGGGACUCAGCAGUCCAAGAAUAGGUAUGAGUCCUAUAAGAACCAAUCUCGAAACAAAGGUUUUAACGCUGCCGACAAGGCUAUAGCUUGAGAGUCAUAAUGAAAUACAUAAUGCAGGAUCCCGGGCGUAGAGCUACAAUACUUUACUGGAAAUACAGAAUGAACUCGGUAGCACAAGAACCAACCAACCCUACUAUAUCAGAAGGGGGCAACAGCAAGAAUCCCCGCUAACGAGGCCUUAACUCGAAACGAGGACUUCGACUCGACAUAAAGCCUUCAACUACUUACUUCUUAGACUGAAACCAGAAACUAGUAAUUACACCCUGUAACUAGGACUAAGUGUCUCUGUUAGCCUAUUCCGACUUCCACUCAAAACUAGCAAUUGAGGCCCGACAACAAGGGUCUAUGUAAUUGAGCUGCUUCUUUUUAUUCUGAAACUAAUAACAAAGGCUUUCAAUGCUGUUUCACUCACCGCGCGUACUGCUCUGCUGCUAACAAGGCGAUAGACCUAACACCGGUAAUACAACUACUAAUAACAGGACUUGAUUCCCUUCUGACUAUAUAAGAUUGUGAACCCACUAUAACAGGUUUGCACAGGUGCUUUUCAUUCUAAGGCUACCGAUCCCCUGGUUCUUACUUGGAUUCUGAACUUCAAUACUACACAAUUCAAAAGAGAACUCAACUAGGAACUCCGGCUGUAACUACUGUUUCUCGUUCUUAAACUCAAUACUACUAUUCUUUAUCUGGGGUGGGGCAUGGGCUCCUUACUUGACUAACUAGUAGCCUGUCUCCACAGGAAUCCAAUCUUAUAUCCUAGUAUCUAAGACCUAAGCUCGCUAGCUACAUUCUAUAGCCUAUGGUCCGGAUCUUUUAUUUCACCUAUGGGCCUGCCCUUACAGUCUCUUAUAGUCUAUUGACUCCGACUUUCCAUAUCUAUUCUAUUUAAUAUAUCUUUGAUUAUGAUGUGUAAUAUCAAACCUGUAUCUUGGCAUAUUGACUCUACAUCUCGAGGUGUGUAACGCAUAGGGGCUGCUACCCUUAUUUGUCAUAUCCAAAUAUAUCUAUUGAUUUGACGUUUAUAGACGUAGCACAUAGGAUUUACUGCUCAUUAUGAUUUCUCAUACUAAACAUAUAUCUUUCAUUGCGUACCCCUAUUGAUCAUUGCGUAACCCAACAAGCAAGCACAUCCCUAUUGAUUGAUUUCCUCGCUCGCCAGCACCCCUUAUUGGCUACAUGCAACACACCUACUAGUCUUAUAGUAUAACGAUAAGUAAUGAAAAUGAGGUGUAUAGGAAUGGACACCUAUCUAAGCUAGGGAGAAUGGGAACCGGAUCAGAUAGUCUAAGAAUUGACACCGGAUCAGAGGGAAUCAAACAGGAAACUCGUCAUUUAAGGUAGUAACAAGAGAAUCAAACCAACAACCAGGAAUCGAGCUCUAAACUAUGAAUUUCACUAGGGUCGAUUACAUUGAGCUACCGGGGAACUCACUCUUACCUUACUGCCUAUCAGUCUAUAUACCUGGACCAACUAAUCUGACUUGACUUGCUUUUAGGCUUCCUUUCACGCCUCUCCUCUCGUUCUUUGGCUGGCUAUUGAUCCGGAUCCUUAUCCUCUGACUUGCUUAUAUGGUAUCUUAUCCUGGUACUGCUCGCCUUAACUCUUCAACAAAUUCAUUUCCGUCUGCUUUUCCUGCUUGUCUUUCUUUAAACACGGAUUCGACCUUUGCUUUAGCUCUUCAGCUCUUAACUUGAAGUAUGCCAUUACUUUCUUUUAAGCCUUGCUUUACUUGCGAAAAAACUAGAUCUUAAUUAAGAACAUCAAAUAUGGAAUUAAAGUAAGGUAAGGAGAGGUAGGCUUGGUUUAGGUUAGGUUCUGCUCUCGUGGCGGAGGUUCUUAUUAAGUCCCAUUUGCUAGUGAAGUUAGUGGGGUAAGUCUUGUCAGCGCUGGUUGGUUUCUUUAUUGUCAGUUGGUUUCUUUUUUGUAAUAAGAUAAAGCAUUAAAGGGAACAAAUACAGAAUGCAAGUAAGGCAGGACAGACCUAGGUUCUCCUAUAACCCACUCUAGAAUAUCAUAUGAAAACACACAUGCUAAUAUCAAAUACAAAAUAGAAGAUUAAGAUAAAUAAGAUAAGUACGAUAAGUAAAAGAGAAAAUCAAUAGAAUAUAAGUAGAAUAUAAAUAUAAGAUAAUAGAUAAGUGAAAAAGCGCACACUAUCUUCAUUCUAAUAUACUAUCUUGUUUGAACAAGCCAAUUAAGAGAAUAGAGGUCGAGGCAAAAGAAAAGGGAAAUCAUUUAGUACUAGCUUUGAUGCGAGGUAUCCUCAUGAACUCAAACUGGACUCGCUACUAAUUCCAACUAAUGCACUUAGUCUUAACAUCCUUUCUUUCUUUGCGGAGGUAGAGGCGAGAGUGGAGAUCAUCUCUUUUAGAAUGAAUACCCAACUGGCACUAAUGGCAGAGACAAGCAACUGCUAACGUGAGCUACACCUAUGAUUCUGACCCACCCUAUUGACUCCGUUAGUCCAAUUCGAAGCCUCUUUUCUAAGCGAUUAUUCUUAUAGUCUAUUACUUGAUGCGCUAUCCUCUCUCUUACUAAUGCUAAUCCUAGUCUUGGUUCCCCGUGUUCAUAGGCUUCUACAGAUGAUUGCAAUUCUUUAUUCUUGUAUUGAUUCUACUAGCAUUCCUAGUUAGUAGUACGAUCCCCUAUUGUAGUUGAAGAGUAAAAACAAGCAAAGUCAGAAUUCAUAGCCGUAGGGACAGACUGUUUUGGUUAGUUAAUAAGAUUUGGUUAGUUAAUAAGAAUAGUAGUUAGGGAAGGGUAGCUUUGAGAUCAAUAGCUGAAGAAUCAAAUGAGUAAGUAAAGGACUCAAAGGCGAGGGAAGUCAAAAAAGGCAUAAAAGGAUAGGAUCAAGGCUCAAACUAAAACCAAGGUGCGGAAAGCCUAAUAGGGAGGGGGGGGUCAGUUCUCAGAAUGAAAGUCAUGGUCGUUAGUUAGCUUGUUUGCUAGUAUUUCUCUUCUAAUAGUAGCGGAUUCCCUGUCCAUUCUUCUACUUAUGAAGCUCAAUUCCUUGUUUCCCAUGUGAUUCCUCAUUCCCUGGCCACUCUAGGGCUUAUACCGACGCUAUCUUUUUAGUUGUUGUCUUCCAGGCGAGGUGUUCUCUUAUCGGCAGUGGAUUCGUACUUGAUAGUUGCAUUCCGUAUUGCGAGGCUUUCAGCACCUUCGAACUUAUAAGUGCAAUUCAUAUAUCGACAGUCCAGGUUUACUUGCAUUCCAGCUUAAACUCCUAAUAUCCAAUCUUUAGUUCGAGAGGCCCGGCCUAAACUCUUUGCUUUAAGGCAACAACACAUAGCUCCCAAACUGAUACUACUUACUGAUGUUAGCAAUACCUACUAACAAGGACUUUCUUUGAUUCUGAUUUGCCUCUAUCGAUCCUGCAUUACUUUAUCUUAGCCUCUACCCCCUUUACCCUAAUUCCAUAGUUUGGGCUCGCUCGGGCCUUACCUCUCCAUGGUCAAAGUAUAUGUUUUUCUCUUUUCUCUAAGUUGGUGUCGGUGUCAAGUAAACAUCAUUCUCAUAAGUGAAAUCAUUCUUCUUAAUAUUGGCGCACUAAGGUACUGAUAUGACUCCAACUUGAGAUAAAGCAUAAUAAGGCUACUUACCUUAACGCAGUAGUGCAUGUGCUAUGUAUAUAAUAGGUGUAUGAGGAACAGCAGCAUAGAAUAAGAAGAGUAAUAAUAAAUAGGGAGGAGUUAGGAUCUAGGCAAGGAGAGCACCAGCGAGUCGAGUAUUGGAUGAUGAAAACAUAUAUUGUAAUAACUUCUACUGUUCGCCUUGACCCUUCUUUUGCCCUUGUAGACCCCUUUAGCCCUAGUAGAGACCCCUUGAGCUUACGAACUCCUGACUUAUUACUGCUUACUCUGAGGCAGAGGCACCGAUCGUUAUCUAGACUCACUUUCUUCUUGAUUUCCCGGAAUCCUUUACCUCCACUUAAACUAGAGGACCACCACUCAUUAUCUACUCCAGUGAAGCAAGAGGACCACACCACUCAUUAUCUACUCCAGUGAACUGAGUGUCUAACAUAGUGAAACAAAGUCACCAAACAAACUAGCAACGCGCUAAGAGAGUAGAGUACUUGAGUAUAGCGUGAGGCUGCCGAUAUUCUAUAUUCAAGGAAACAAUGCUUUGUGAAGUGACUUUCUUUUAUUAGUUGCUAGGUAGAUUCAAUUCAAUUAAAGGCUGUAGGCAGAGUGCUCACUUAGUAACCCUUUCAUUCAAUAUCAAAGAAAACGAGUCACCCUUUCAUUCAAUAUCAAAGAAAAGACAACUUAUAUAAGUGCGGAACCUAUAACCGCACAAAACGACAAAGCUCACUAACGCACCCGCUCACUCAAGUAAGUAAUCAGACUAACGCGUAAACAAGCUUAGUCUAAUGGAGCAGCUCGCCGACCGGAAUAACAAAGAAUGGAAUUGAUCGUUACACAUAUACAAAGUCAGUAAAAGCACCUGAACCUAACUACUUACUCUCGGGGCUUGUUCUUGCGCAAGGGCUUGUUUUAGUUUCUUUAGCUACCUUCUCCACUAGGGCAAACAAACCUACUGAUGCUAUCUUAUCUCCACUAGGGCAAACAAACCCACUUCUGUCUUUUUAGCCUAUAAAGAAAGCAUAUUCUAUAAAUGAUAGUAACAACCCUUCUGACUCCACUCAACUACUAAUGCACUCUGCUCUGCCCGAAACUCCAAUAAGGUGCGUUAGUGCAACUACGCAUUAGCACUUAGGCUUGUGGAAUUGAGUCCAAAAGAAUCGAAAUAGAAGCUAGGCACCACGAAGUCAGCGUUAGCACUUAGGCUUGUUUGCGCCCAAGUCCUGUGUACUAGGGCAAAAGAACGAGUCAUUAGGUAAGGUGUAGAUAUUACAUCUGUGGGUAGCUCUACUCUAGAAGCAACAGGCAAGGCCUAUAUUCUAUUCUUGCACUCCUUUCUAAAAGCCCUUGUGGGUAGCUCUACUCUAGAAGCAACGCAACUGUGCCCAUCUUCUAUUCUUGCACUCUCUUUCAUUCUUGCACUCCUUUCGAAAAGCCGCCCUUGCGCUAACUUAUGCCAUUUGUUUCCUUCGGGGUGCGCCUAUGCUAUGAUAUUUGUUAUUGAAGAACAAGCUACAGUGCCAGCAUUUAUCUUGAGGUUGGCUUUCUUCUCUAUAACAGUAUAGCUACUACCACUACCCUCGCCCUCCUUCGAGGAGAACCACUCCUCAGUCUCCCAAGAUUCCUUACAAGAGUAAGUGAGUGCUAUAUUAUUAGAUACCAGGAACGAAUCCAUGUAUACUUGUAGCGGCCAUGUAGCAUAAUAAGCCACAUCACCAGAUUCUUCAAACUCAGCCCCCUCCCGCCGCUCUUCAACAAGCUUAACCCCAUGCUUCAGCCUCCGGUUUCUCAUUAGUCUGUUCGCUCAUGAUUCCUAUGCAAAAGGGUCUCCACUGCUUGAGGUAAGUAUUCAUGAGCUUCUAUUAGAUCUUCUCCUCAUUUUGGAGCUCAUCCCUUAACUUCUGCUCGCUUUUCAGCGGUACAUAAGCGAAUUCUAAGAGUGAUAACACGCCCUCAUCUGCAUCAAUGAGACCCUCCUUAUCUUCCCGUUUGCAUACGAAUUGUGCUGCAUGAGCUUGCGCAUGAAAAUGUAUGUACUCAUGCACGGCGAUUUUACUCCUUCUCUCUCUCACAGCCAUUACGACUUUUAGACUUUGUUUACUCUCCGUGGUUAGUAUGGCUUUAUCCCCUAACUCCAAUAACCUCUCAAUAUCUCCUAGUAUCAGCUCUUUGACCUUUGCUCUAGCAAUCAUUAUCUGAUCUACUUCUCUUACCCUUACGCGCACCCUUGCCGGCUCCUCAUUGUACCUAAUGCAUAUAUUCUUAGCAUUAUCCCACUUCAUACCUAUAGCAUUUUAGUGUCCUUUAGGUAGUGAUGCUAACUCACAUGUAUUGUGUUUCUUUCGAUGGAGUUGAUCUCAUCAUCCGACCUUCCACUUUUCUAUCUUUUAUGGCAUCCUUAUAUAUUGAAGCACUAUCCGCAAGGAGACAAAGAAUAUGUAAUGAAUCCGUUACUUUCAAAUCGUUCUCUUAGACUCCUUUCCAUUUAGGUCUUGGGCGAUCUUCUGUAGAUGUUUGUGUAGUAUAGGAUGUUUACGGUGAUGGGGUUUCUGAAAUGGAACACUUGCUUUUGUUCUUCCUCAUGCAUCUCUUCGAUGUUGCUCUCCCAAUUCUAUACACCUUAUUCCGCAUUUCACUCUAAAUCUAUACUUACCUUUGAGUGUUAGUUAGGAUUCUGUCAUUUGUGAGCUUUUGAUUGAGUGUCAUACGCCAUACAGGUUUUUCGCCUUUGAUCUGGAAGUGUGCAUAAGUACCCAAAGAUCUUGAAGUGUGAGACGCUGGGCUUUCUUAUGGUCCAUGCUUCUUGUGGAGUCUUGUUCUCCAAGCUUGAUAUAUUGCACCGGUUUAGGAUGCAGAUGCCACAAGCCACCGCUUCAGCCCAAUACUCUGUGGGCAUGUUUCAGGUCAAUAGCAUGCUUAUCACCAUGUACAGAAUGUUCUGAUUCCUUCUUUCCGCCACACUGUGGGGAGAAUAUAGUGCCGUUAGUUGAUGUCAAUGCCGUGCUCAUCACAAAAGUAGGAAAAUGCUUUGGAGGUGAAUUCACUACCUAGAUCGUAGCAGAUGGUUUAUCAGUAGUAGCCGCUUUCAUUCUCAACAAUAGUUGAUCACUUAUUCUUGAACAUCCGAAACCCCUUUUCUGGAAAGAAAGAACCUAUGAUAUAUGUUAUGAUAUAUAUUAUUUCUCUUCUAUAUAUGUUAUGAUAUAUAUUAUUUCUCUUCUAUAUUCUUCUAGUCAUUCAGAAAAGUGAGAAAAAGGCGAUGCUUACUAAAAAGAAAGGAUGUUGGAGCAAUAGGACCACUAAGGAAUGAAUGAGCUUCUUUGCUCUGAUGUUUGCCUUAUCAUGUAGAAAGCUUCUUAUUCGUUGUUAGGCAAGAACACACCCUGAACAUAUUGGACUAGGGAAUGUAUUAUAGGGUUGACCAUGCACCAUCUUCUUAGUAGAUAGCAUGUUUAGAUCGGAGAAGUGAGAAUGUAAAAGCCGAAAGUGACAUUGCCAUUAGGAGUCCUUCCAAUAAAAAAGUAUUUCAGCCUCUUGCCACCACAUCAUGGUUAAUGGUUAAGAUUAAUAAGAUCAGAUUUGACAUCUACACUUGAGAGCAAUUAAGCGUCAUUUCAUUUGACAUCUCCAUUUGAGAGCAAUGAAGCUAUUUGUCUGGCUUCCAAGAAAUGACUCUCCUCUUUUGAUUGUUCUUGUAUUGGACUUAGGUCUCUAUCAUUGUUUAUUCCUCUUCCUCCUUGGCCAUGUCCUCUUCUACGUUCUCUCGGCCUCUUGCACGACCGGCCAAGCUUAGUAUGUAUAGCUAUGGAGCGUGUUGCGAGCCUUCGUUUCUUUCAAAGUGAGCUUGAAGGACUUGUUCUUCCACCGCAUCUGGUUUGGUUUAAUAAAUAUGAAUGUGCUUCAACCCAUUAGCUCAUCAAUAGUGUUAUGGUCUAAAUCCUUUGAUUCUUGGAUAGAGACCACAGUGGAACUUCUCAUGUUGCGAUCAAAGUACUUUUUCGAUCACACCAAGAUCUUCUAGUUUCUCACAAUAUCCUCUUAGUUGAUUUACAAUGGUUAUAACUCUUGUCAAAUAGUCCGAAAUAGAAUAGGACUCAUAAAUAUGAUGCAAAGUCGCUAAUUCGGCUCUAAGUGAUUGAAGCUAGCUCUCACCUUAUCAAUACCUUUGUUUGAGUUUGUUACUUCCCAAGCGUCUUUGGAGGCGGCCCCUUAUAAAGGCAAGAAUCUAGCCCUUGGUAGAUGAGGAAGAGCGCCUUAUUCGUUGUCCGGUUGGUUUCUCUUUGGCCCUAGUAAAGAUGGCAUAAUCUGGAGGCUCAUCAUACUAUACCACCUCCCAUAUUCUUGAGAUCCAAACAAAGCCGGAAUAAGGAUGUUCACAUUCUUGUCAUUCUCCUUUGUUAGGUUGGAGUUGCAUUCUAUUUGCCAUUGGAACUUGGCUCUGAUACCACUUUUCUAAGAAAAGAAAAAGAGAGAGAGAUGGAGAGGAAUAGUUUUGGGAAGGGAAUUUGAUGCAAGAGGAAAAUAAUCACUUUCUUAUUCUUCUUGACAAGUCUACACACGCCGGACCUUUUCUUGACUCACUCUAUCUCCACUUAAUCAUUAGACAUAGCUUAUUUCACCUUAUAUAGUGAUAGCUUAUAAGAGAGUGACAAGACUCUAUGGCGACAUUCAAUUAUCUCAUUACUUAUAUAGUGAUAGCUUAUAAGAGAGUGACAAGACUCUAUGGCGACAUUCAAACACUUAUCUUAUGUGUCACCUAUCAAAUAGACUAUUGACUCUUGAUUUUCAUAACCCUUUUCUUACAUAGUAAUCUUUCUCAUGGUGUGUAACCUCUCAUGUCUCUGAAAAUCCUAUAGGUUACAAUGAUUUAUCCCAUGUGUUCAUGCAAGAGAGAAGGAAAAGAAAUCCCAGAAUGAAGUUGCAUUUAUUCUUAACAUGGAUAGAGAGAACUGGACUUUCAGAAGCACCCAAAGAAACAAACAAGACUUCCACUUAUGCUCUUUGAACACAAACUACCCCGGGAGCGGACGAACAGAAAUAGACUUAAUGGCGGAUUGCCUUUCGCCAACACCCAGCUUUCCAGGUAAUUCCACACUCCCCGCUUCCGAUGAACAAAAAGGGCGACCCUCCAUUGCUGGUUCCCUUGGCUGCACUCAAGCUAUAAUCACUAACUCCAGUACUACAAGUACAAUAGAAUUGCCUAAAGCUUUUUGCCUUGCUUCACUGCCCAUGAGUCUGACGCUGCUUUAUCUAAUUCCCACGGGGCUCCCCACACACCUUGCCUGGUAGGGACUUAGCUUAGAACUUCUAUCGCUGUCCGCUCCUGUUAGGGCUAGCUACAAACUGACACUACUUCUUAUAAUUCCUUAGCCCAAGGUUAGAGCCUGACUUUCCUGUCUCCAAGUCUCUUGCUCUGAAACCAGAGCAUGUCUCUACUUACUUUGAUUCUAAGACUCCGGAUUCGGAUCCUUUUAUCUUCUAACAAUAAAUAGAAUAACUGUUAACAAUAAUGGAACUAGCACCAAUGGGAACUUCACUAGUAAUAGCAAUACUCUCACUCAGAAAUAAGACUUGGUACCUUCCCCCUCCAUGCUUUGUUUGCCUAUUCAACUCCUUGGUAUCAGUCUGACUUUUAUUACCUUGAUUCUAACAACCAUUACUUGGAUUUUGAAACAGCUAAUGAAAAGACUGCAACUAUUGCCUAUUGGUCUAUUCUAGAUUACUUAUAUUCUUUAAUGAAAUACCGAUCUCUAACCUUGCUUUACGAGCUAUUGGUCUUACUAUCCCAGCAGUAAGUCUUACCUUCCGUGAUCUCACUCUUAUAUCUUGGGCACUUAAACUGUAUCGCUACCCACACUUUUGGUUGAAACCCACCUCUCUUAUCUUGUCAACUCAGUACUUGACUUCUUUCUUGCCAACCUGGGGCUAUCUAUGAAAACAAAGAAGGAAACUAGCAACUCUACCUCGCUCAGGCUUAUCAAGAAGGAGGUAGUCAAUAGGUCCAGCAACCACUAGAAAGGCAAAGAGAGAAAGAAAAGACCCGGGGAGAGAAAAGAGAGAUUCAAAGAAAAGAGAAACUAAGGCCGGAGAAAGUGCCAAUUACCAGGUAGAGAAUAUAUACCUAGAUCUGUAGUUCAAUUGUCUAGUAGUUGCUUGGCCAUCCUUAUAGUUAGUAAUGAAAGCCCUAGUGUUGAGUUGAACCAAUGCCAACAAACGGGGGGAACUAUUAUAGAACCAAACUAAAGAUAGCAGGGCUUAACUUGAAACUACAGAAUAUUGCGCAGUGCACUAUAUGAAUGCAAACCCCACUUAUGAGAAUAGAUACGGGAAUAGGGGAUCAACUCAAACUAGUAAUAAUCAAACAAAGAAUACAAGGAUACCUGGCUAAGUCAACUUAUGCUAAUACGGGCUAAGUCAGCUGCUAAUACAAAAAGAGGGGACCGCCCCAGUAGGGGAAUGAAACGAAACACAUAGGUCAGAAUGCCAGUAAGGAGAAGGAGUUGAAAGGUCAAAUAUAGAUGUGGAUGCCGGGUAUGGGUUGAUUCUCACUUUGGAGUUGGGAUUCCCCGUUUCAAGUUAAGGUAUUUGUAGUAGCGGUUCCGUUCUGAUAGUUAGUAUUUGCUUUCUUAUUAGUAGCGGUGUAAUGUCUUUGCAUUCUGAAAACGACUACGACGGCAAGGAGAGCUAGGUGCGCAGGGCGUGUCUCCUGUUUUCCAGACAGGAAGGUGAGCUUUGGAGUCAGUAGUUAAGGUCACAUAAACAGUAGCUGGAUUCCCAUUCGGAGUAGUCCCAUUCUGUAUUCUUUUAUUUAUUCGUAGAAGCUGUAGCUCUAGUCUUAUCCUAUAGUAGGACUGAUAUCGCUACUACCAAUAAUUGCACAAGUGCUUCUCAUAUUGAAACAUAUAACUAAGGCUUCACUGAUAGGAACCAACUCUUGCUCUACUGCUUCCCCGGCUCACUAUCCUGACUUUUCUUCUUUCUCCUAUAAUAAGGAAUACAACUACGUAGCUUAAGGAUUGAUACGCUUAAGGAUUGAUACGCUACCUGACAAGGCCGGUACUACUGCUAAUCAGAAUCUAUACUUGAAUAGGGAAUUCCACUGUUGACUAAAAGGCUUUGUCCCUAGCUUGCCAACCUAGUUAUCUCGAGCAGUAAAGGCAAACUGGAAUCUUUAGUGCUAUCGGGCAGUAAACGAACACAGGACCCAUCAACUGGUAGCUAGCCUAUAUGGUAUGUGUAGUCAAUCUUAUUAUCUAUAUCGUUAUUGCAUGCUUACUUGUUAGUUAAAGAACCUCGCUUUACUGACUUUGAAACUGGAUACCCAUAAUUGUUAGCCUGCCCCUUUUGACACUUCAUUAUUUAUUGAACUCUGUACUCUCCUACUGGGAUGUGAUCCGAUCUCUUGUGGCGGGUGCACAUUCUUAUACUUAUGAGUUCAAUCCUAACAUUAUAUAGCAUUAGUAAACUUAGCACGGCACCCUUAUCCAAUUCUCAAGUAAGAAUACCUGGCUAAGUUAUCCAAUUAGAAAGUCAGGGCUGCUUUAGCUGCCGAUGGGUAAUUGAGUAGAUGGUGAGUUGUGUUCUAAAGUCGGAAAGUAAGAGACUAGAUCUGUUCCCUAAAGAAUAAGAAGAGCAAUUAGGUGCCUGUACUAGAUGGAAAGGGAGGCGGAAUGCUGCUAACGAUUUUAGGAAUGCGAUACGGUCGUUAAGGCAUGAAAGCAAGGUGCUAAGAGCCUGAGAGAUAGGCCCGGUAUUAGUAUGAUUCUUUAUUACGAGCUAUAGUUUUGCCCGGUGCCAGUAUCUUAUGCCUCCGCGCUAUUCUUAUUGCUGGAAGUUAGUUACAGCCCGAGUUCCUAGCUGUUGUCUUAUAAGCUGUAGGUUAUCUCCUAGGCGAGUUCCCCUGUAGUGUUAUUCCUAUCUAUUAGUUGUUGCCCUGUUAGCUAAGUGCAAAUCGUUAUUUCGAUUCUUAUUCGUAAGGAGCCAUAUUCCUAUCGGUAGGUUAGUUCCCAUAUUCGUAUUGGUAGGGCAACUAUUACAUGACAUGCUACUUUCACUUACUAUUACUAUCAUUAGAAGAGAGUAGAUAGAUAAGUAACAACCGUAUUAAUACUCUUAAGUGAUGCUUUCGAGUAAAGGAAUCAAUCCGUAAAUCGAGAAUGGAAGAAAGGAAAGGGAGACUUAACUAAAGGAGAGGCAGGGAGGAACGAACUACUACUGGUGAGGGCUCGCUACCGCGCAACAUUAUAAGUGACUUGGCCCAUACUAAAGUCAGGAGCAUUCCAAUAUAUGUUAAUUCCAUCUUUCAAAAGGAUAACUGCUGCAUCUAGGCACAACUUACAAUAAGGGCCCGCACUGGAUGGAUUUCUGUUCUGGAUUUCAAGUCAACCAUAGUAAGUCAGAAGCCAAACCACUCGGAAUCACCCUAAAGUACUGGGUUGGUUCAUCGAUUCUUCACCCCCAGCUUCCUCACCUUUGCCAACCCUACCUUUGUUUAUCGAGUGAAGUAAAUAAGAGACCCAUGUGUGCUCUCCUCUGGCUCUACCGCUUCUGGUUGAACUCUCACUCCCCCUUGAAACAAAUCAUUCCACUUUACCUGUGUUUGGGCACCCGACCGGGAAUCAACAUCCAUUGAAUCACAGAGGUCCGGUAGGCGCAGUACAGAGAGGGUUCAGUUCAAGGUCAAAGAUGCGCUACCAAUUAAGUACUAUGCCUCAACUCCCUUUCCAUUACUAUAUGCACUAGAUCUACCCAUCCAUACAUUCUUAUCUUGCAACUACUGUAUGUGCUAGCAAUGUAGUAUUAGGGCCUUCCUUCUCUUCUAUACCCGAGAUACCCGGUAGCUUACUUUAGCCCUAGAUACCCUGUUCUUCGGGUGUUUGAGAAGGAGCUCGAUUGGCAUGACUUAACUCUAUAGUAAUUAGUUGACUUCUCUACUUCUAUUACUAUUGUUAUAAAAGAAGAAAUGGGGCACAAGAUAUCAUUUCUGUACCCAUGGCAACAGGUGAAAUGAACUGAUUGUAUGCCGCGGUUCACUUCUCUAUUGACUUUCCCCGGCUUCCUCACUAGCUCCAUCUUUCGAACAGCACCUCUGCUCUGAUUCCCUAAUUACACCCUAUGUUUCUAUUCAAUACUCCACUAUAUCUGGAAAACUCCUAUCUCGGUCACCUCGCCUUAGCACCAGGAAGUUUCCCGAGUAGGAGCACCCCCGCCCAGUAACGGCCAAGCAAUUCCUCAACAAGAAGACAGAUUGAACAAAAGUCCUAUCCAAUUUCUAUAUUUUGAUAUAUUUGCUAGGUUUACGAGGGAACCCUAAAGAAGGGCAGAAGGAUCUGAUUGAACUCGGUAUUGCACUCUGGAUAUCUCUCUCUGGCUCAUCUAACUAUGGCUAAUGAUUCUUUGACUUCUGUUUCGACUAAACCUCCCUUUUGGCAUUCUGUACUUGAAGCUUAUGCUCUUGAAACGAAAAAAGCCUUUAUGACCCGAAACUAAGGGAGCGGUCUGAAACUAAGGAAGUAAGAAUUCCACUUCGAAGUAAAUAAACAGAAUAAGCUGACCUGAACCUUAAUGCCGGGACUACUACUUAAAGGGGCUGUAAACUGGGAUUCAACUUUAACUCUACCUUCCACUUAUGCUCUUUUCACUCUGGCUACAAAUGGAUACUUAACUCGAACAGAAACAUCAUUAACAAGCACACGACCCUAUGAUCCCAACAAGACGUGGUGCGCUAUCGCUUAUUGACCUACUUGCGGUUAAGUGGAAAAUGUCAACACCAAGGUAGCUUGUAGCCUUUACCUUAGCCCAAGUUCAGUUACGAGAUAAAGAUCAUCAGCAGUGGGAGCAGGGGAAGAAUGGGUGGUUUAGUGACUUUUCUUCUCUUAGGAUGUAGCGCUAUCCAAUAUUCUUUCCUUUCGUCAGGGAGUUACUGUAGCUAACGAACGGGAGUUUAGUAAAGAAGAAGUAAUGAUUUAAUAAGAGGAUUGGAUUGAUCUGCCAGAGGAUUGGAUUGAUCCGCACAUAAGGAGUUUGGAGGAGCAAGACGUUGCGCGUUUGUAGGGUGUUAUGAGCCGACAAGGAACUACAAAUGUAUAGCGUUAUAGAAUAAGGGCACCUCUACCUCUCUCUACUGAUUAACUUGGGGCUUCGGAAGUACUAUAUUAUUACCGGAACCCUGCCCCUGCUUCCCUGAACCAAUCUUUCUUUCCAGGCUAUUCUCCACUACAACACUCGAAGGAACUUAACUCCAACAAGUUCUUUCUUUCUUUGUCGGGAGCUGCGGAUUCUGUUUAAGAUUACCUACUUGCAGCUUCUAAUUGAACAGUCAAGUCACUCUUUUAGCCGAUGAAGACAGGCGAUGGAAAACAGUACUUCCUUGUAGAGAAUUAAGCCUGAUUGCCUUAACCGAGAUUCUAGCCUGAUUCUCUGGGUUUGGAAUCUAUGAGAGAGUUGAUUGUCGUGUAGUUCUGCUCUUUGCUUUACCUUAGCACACUUGCUUGUUUUAGUGUUGUCGUAGGUGGGGGGGAGUCCUAGAAAGCUGAGCUGAGUUCUGUUAGGUAAGAAUAACGUACUUGCAUAGUUUAUUGGUUUCACGCCCGAGUUCUCUAAGUAAGAAAAUAGUAAUAGGAAGAAACUCCACUUUCAUUGCUACACACAAGCACCCACUAGAACCUACCUAUAAACAAGGAAGAUUAUCCUCCACCCUAUUCGACUAUAUACCAAUACCGAUACCCCUAUCUUUCCACUCUACUUGAUACUGGACCUAUAACCUCAGGCUUUCUAUCAGCAAUAAGAGCACUAGGUUAGGUAGGUUAGUUACCUUAGAGCACAUAGGGUAGUCAGUUAACUACUAUAUCUAUCGUGCCUAGCUCCCAUCCUCUUAUUAUUUCUUACCUUGUAGUUCAAUUCAACACUUUCUGGCGAGUUUCAUUCUAUAUUUAUUACUUAAGAGAAAGAGCAAUAGGCGCUAGGUACCACACUCUUCUUACUAGUUCCAAUCUGACUCUUUAGUUGAGGGUAGUAUCUUGACUUAAGAAAUCUAUACCUGAUGCUGUAAAUAAAGAAUGAAAGGUUUCAGAAGAGCGCCUAACUCAAAUACAGAACAGAACUCACACCUUAGAUUUAGAUACUCGGAGCAAGACUCAGUACGUAACGGUUCAGGAGUGGAGUGAAAGAUGGAAUUCCUUGUUUCGCUAACGACUGAAGCUAGAAGAUGUCCCCUGUAUAGUCUGAUUUCUACGCUAGAGGAUGUCCUGUGUAGGGCUUUGACUCACUUAUAGAUGCUAGGCGAGAUGGAUUCAAUUAACUCUUUGUUGGGUAAUAAUAAAAGGCAGUUCGCAAGUCUGCUGUAAGAUAUGGGGAAGUCUAGGUUUUGUAUACAAGUAAAGGGCCAGGUCAAGUAUAAAGUCGAGUUAUAAAAGCGGAGGUGGGGUCUUAAAGUGCAGAUGCCGUUUCCAGUCCUGUGUCUUGGAACAAUACUUGAUGAUUCUGAACCGCCUAAAGAAGAAGUUGUAAACUCAAACUCAACUUUCAUUGCUUAACACUAGCACUAAACUCUUUAAAGCCAAGUGUGAUAGGGCUGUACGAAAGAGUGGAUUCUAGAGUAUGCGAUUCUAGAGUAUGCGAGUGCCCGUGGUAUUAUCUAGUGCUUAAUCCUCCGGUGGUAUUAUCUAGUGCUUAAUCCCUCCGGGAUAAAGAGGCAAGGCCCAGCCCAGAGGUUACUACACAGAAGAAAGUCAAGGUAGCGUUGAAUCGAGUGUUGGCUUAGAAGCGGGAAGGAGAAGGCCAUAACACAUAAUUCAAGCUUGAGUGGAGUAAGUAAACUCCAUUCUUAAAGGUAGGGUUGACCGGGCAGUAAGUGAUAGGCCAGUUCCAGUUCUAGUUGUUGGCUUAGAAGCGCUAGGUGAAUGAGUUUAAUAAGUUCUCUGGAAUCCUAUAUCCUAUAUUCUAAGAUAGAAUAAGAUAGAAUGAAUGGAAUGAUGAUAUGACCAUUAUUCUGCAUUCCUUAAAGAGAAUGUAAGAAUUCAACCACUAAGUAUAAGCCUAAAAGCGAGGGCAAGGGGCAGAGACAGAGACAGGCGAGGAAGCGAGGGUUGGAUGCGAGUGCUGGUUACAAGUCAGUUUCGGAUAGCCCAGGUAGUUGCGAGUGGAUAGUUUCAUUCUGAGUUUCCAGUUUCGUGUAAGUGCUCUAGCCCUGAAGUUAAUUGGUGAGAGUCAAGAGUUUAGCCUAUUGGGGGUGCGAGUGAUCUCUACGAUAAAGGUUACAGUCAAUACCGAGUUUCCAACUUCUUAUUUAGGGGUUUGUUGUCGGGUCGGCAUCUGCAAGGGAUGCAGUUUAGUAAGAUUCAAAAGGGAGGAAUGCUAGGUGGGUUCAGUUACCAAUGCUUGAGUGGAGGUGUGAAAGGUAAGAAAGAGAAUCCGGGUUGGUAGUAUAAGUAGGGCCAAAAGAAAAAAGCAAAAGAGUUCUACUAAAAGUAACCAAUACUGGGGUUGGGCAAGGUAUAUCCUAAGUGACUUUCUAGGGUGCCGGAUCAGAGCACUUGUUUCAUUCAGUAGGCGUAGUUGGUCUGGUCCAGUUGCAUACCCAGGGGAAUCCUCAACCUCAAAAGAAGGGAAAACAGCUUGGGACACUAAAACACUCAGUGUGCGGGAAGGAAAGAAAUAAGAUAUUAGACUUUGAGGCGAGGUGUCCGGAAACAGACUGGAAUUCCAUAGGAGAAGUAGAUGAGCAAUAACUGUAUUUGUGGGCAAGCUAGUCCAGUAGUAGAGUAGAGCCAGUACUUUUCUUGUUGUUAGUGAAUCCCGGCCGUAGACAAGCCAAGUGUUAUAGGCUUCAAGUUCACUCUCACUUAUUUUGUUAGAUGGGAUGAUUUCAUCUUAUUAUAAAGAAAGAAUAAGUCUUGUUACCGCCCUGAGUGGGUAAGAGGUUCAGAUAUGAUAGUUUAGGCCAUAAAGAUAUAGGCAUCAAAUUAGCUAUUUCAUCACUUAUGAGGUUUGAUAGGAAAUCCAUCAUUGAAACUAAGAAACAGGCCAACGAAGUCAUUUCUUCCUAAAAUCUUGACCCUCUGGCUCUGGCUCUGUAAACAAAUACUUCUUGAAACAAGCAAUUCCAGAAGGGUACGCCCUGCCCUGUUUUAUAGGCUCAAAAGGAAUUAGAAGCUCUCUUAGACGUAUGACAUGAAAGAUGGUACAUAAAGCAUAAGAAGUAUCGUUAGAGUUCUCCACCCUAAUCUUGCUGGUUCCGGGCAGGGAAAGCAGUAUCAUAGCCAGGUUAAGUUCCAGUGAAGAAAGUAUGGUUAAGGCGUGUGAAGCUCUGUUCUUGUUGUUGGCUUCGGGGAAGAAUCAAUUCCUUCUGAUGCUGCCCUAUUAAUGAGGUUUCCUCGCACUGCUAAUGAAUUAGGCAUCUAUAAAGCUGCCCUCGAAAGGGUGUUUCAGUCCAAUACCAGUCCUGUUCACUUGUAUAUAAGGGAAGUAGUCCAGAGCCCUAACUUUCUUUGUUGACAGAGUUAUAUGACCAAGAUCAGAGGGAUAGAGUAAAGAGCAAAGUUGACUUACCGCAAUUUGUACUAGUAAUUAAAGGAAUGCGCUAGCUGAACACAGGGCUAAAAGGUUUGAAUCCCCAACUAGAGGUACUCCCAAUAUAAGAGAUGGUAGGUACUGGUAGUCUAGUGGUCUGGUCAAGUUUCAUCAGUAGUAGGCUUUCAGCACCUGUAUCAUCUGUAUUAUUUGACAGAGGAGAGGUCGGGUCGGGUAAGUCAAGAAAGGGGAGUGAUUGUGCUCGUAGCUUGGUCAUUAGUAGUGUGCGAUGCGAAAGAAUGCAUUUGAAAGUCUCUAAAUCUCGCUACUAAAAAGUCAACUAUCUGCUUGGUAACUCGAAAAGUAACUGCUCAUAUGUAUUAACUCCUAAUGGUAUGGUAGGUACCCAGCUUCCUCUCCUGAUGAUCUGUAUUCCUUUGCUUCAAAGCCAAGCCUUUACUUGUUUCUUGUGCCGAGUAAACUCAAAUCUUAAUUGAAAUAGAAACUCCCUUAUCGGAUACUGAUUGACUUCCCGUGCUGGGCUAUCCGAACUCAAGGCUAUUAUUGAGGGUUGUUAAGGGCAGACUUAGAUAGGUAGGGACAGACUCUCUGACUUUCUUUCUCAGAUGAAAUUAUUUAUUUAAAGAAGUGUUCUUCAGCCAAUACCGAGAUCUGUGUUUGUAGCCUGAGUAUGGUUAGUUUCAAGAUCAAGAGAGGGCAGGGAAAACACCGGAGAGGCGAGGGGGACUAUGAAAGCUAUCAGGCAAGCUACGUAUACAAAGCCAAAGAGGUAACCGGAUCGUAUUAUAGGAGAAAUGCCCCUAUAGUUCCUUUUUGUCUAGAAAGAGAUCCCUGAGAUUAGAAUAGUGGAAUCCGUAUUAGUUUACAGAGCAAGAGAGGAGCCAGUAGUUGGCAAGUAAGAAAGAGAUGAGCUAGUGCUAGUGGUAUUGAUGCUAGUGCUGCAGGUGCCUAACAAGCCUGCUGUGAGGUGAGAGUGAUGUGAGGAAAGGUUCACUCAGUUAGGAGUUCAAUAGGAGUUUCUAGUUAUGAGUUUCGAGUUUAGAGUUAGUUUCAUUGAAUCCUAAUACUAUAGAGUUUAGAGUUACGAGUGGAAUUCUUCUUAGGAGUUGUAUCCAGAAUAGGAGAUAGAGAAUCGGCUGGAGACAGAGAAUCAGAUAUAGAAGAUCAAGAUCCGUUUAUGAAUAAAGUACUGGUGCGCGGGCAGCUUUCCUUUGCUCGAGUGUGAAUUCUAUUCAAAAGAUGGAGUAGGGGAUAAAGUGCAAUUCAUUGGCCAAUAUGGGAGUCGCUUCUUAGGCACAUGAGGAAGCGGCCUAACAUCUUUGAAAUAGAAAUCCCAAUCAAAGACAAGUUCCACCUAUGGUCGUAGAUCAGCAGCUCAAUCCGCCGUUUCUUUCCCCUUUCUAUAAUAACUAUAGCUUCUUUCCCCUUUCUAUAAUAAGAGUAUAUAGAGUCAUAGUGAAAACCGAUACUGUCUAUAGAGUCAUAGUGAAAACCGAUACUUUGGGCUUUGGCCUAGCUUACUAAGCGCUAGUUCUAUCCCGGCCCGCUAGUUCCAUUUAGAUCUAAUAUGGAGCUUUGAGGUUCAGCACCUAGUUAAUCAAAAGCGAGUCUUCGUCACAACACAAAUGGAAUUGCAAAACUGAGGAGAGAUCUAGAAUAGAAAACAAACCAAGGCGCCCGUGCUUGCUCUAUGGUUAUUGUUUUAGCCUGGUAAUCACUGGUUCGGUGCGCCGAAAUCCCUACUAUUCUCAAUCUACCCUUAGGAGGGCAGGAAAGAGCUCGUGCGGAUAAGUUACGGCCGUCGCAGCCUUCGAUAAACGAAUUCCCAUCACUAAUACACAAGAAGAAUAAAGAAACCCAGAAGCGGAAACACUCUUGUUUACUCCGCAGCCGAGGGAGCUUCCUAAAGAGCACACCUGAGAUACGGAGGGAUGGUAUUAUUAUUAUGCAGCUAGAGCCAAGGCAGAAAGGCUUUAGUGGAGUCUCUUUCAGUUCGCGAGGAAAGGAUACUAUUGUUCCAGAUUCAAGUCUUGUUCCCCAGUCAUCAAGUACUAGAUCGGAAUAAACAGAAUCAUUUGCCUAGCCAGGCAUAGGGGCGGGGUUAACUCAUUGAAGUAACAAAAAGGACUACCUCUCCUCUGGCUCUUGAAACUAACCCACUCCAGUUCGUUUUCUACCGGAAUUCUUCUCCAAGCCAAAGGCAAAACAGGUAGUCAAUUCCAUUCCUCAGUAGUGAAGUUACUUGGCCGACUUUUCUGGAUUAUUUGCAUUUUGAGAAAAUUGAUUCAUCGUGUUUGAUAGCAAUUCCAGACUUCAAGUAGGGAGGUCGGGUCAUCUAACUCAAUUUCUUUGAUAUGCGAAUGAGGCUCUCUUCUCUUCUGGCCUCCAUCUCUUCUCUUCUUGCCUUUCAACUGAGCUUGUAGUUACUUGUCUAGUAGUUACUAGUCGGUGUUCAAGCAGGGGUCGGGGCAUCAUAAAGUACUUUUCUUCAGCUCACUUACGCAGAACUCCCUAACGCCCGAACAAAGGACUUUGUGUUGGUGUUAACUGGAGUUGCUUGUCUCUCCUGUUCGAUAGUUUUCUACCUGAAUUCUUUUCCUCUUUGUUAUACCAGCAUUCUGCUCCUCUGUUUUCUAGCUUUCCGUAGAUAUAUCUGUAUUGAGGUAAUGCCAGAGAACCCGACAGAAGACACACAAGCGUGGCGGAACCUUACUGAGCAGGAUGUUAAAGCUGAAGGCGCUGACUUAGAAGAGCUGAAUGCCGUGGUAUAUUAUGCAGCAUGGCCGGUACAAGCCUAUAUACAAGGGUUCAAUGUAUCCAACAAUAUUGCAUUAACAUACACGCAGAAGGAGACCUCCCAGCUGGAAGAGUGGAUCUCAUCUCAUCAGGGUGAGGGUGAUGAUAGUAUCUAAACUAUUGUAGAGAGGAAGGUCCCCCUUAAGAUUCAUGGAGGAACUGUCGCUGCUGCCGUUCAAACCAUAAGUCAAACCAGAAAAGGAUUGGUCUUACAGGAGAGGUGGGAAAAAGAGGAAGAUUGAGAAGCUACCUAAGUUUCCCUAUUUAUAGGUGAGUUCGUUACGCAUUGAAUAAAGACUGUAGGUAUGACAGAGCAACCGAAGCUUCUGUAGACCUAGCUCCCGAGGAAGCAGUAAGGAGUGAGUUCAAAAGGAGACUUAUUUGCGUCUAGGAAAGUUUCUAGGGUUGGUUUUAAGGAGCACAUGCUUAGAUCCUCCAUAUCCAUUGUAUUGUACCUAUGCGGAUAACAAGUAUAAUAUAGUCAACUAGUAUAUGAAGGGGUUUCCUUUCUAGGCUCAGUAGUAGUGAGAUUCUGAUAGUAGUCGUGGUGGCUAGCUUCUUUGCAUUUCGCUUAGGUCCUAUACUUAUGAGUUCAUUUCUUUUACUUACUAGCUGGGUUCUGUUACUUGUUAGUGAAAUCCAUUAGACCCUAGGCUUUCAGCACCUUGCUUGUUUGACUUUCAUCGUAUUAAGAUAAGAAGAUAAGCUCUUUUCAAAUGCCCACGUAGCGCUCAAGGGAAUCCAAAAGUCAAGGCAUAUCACCAUCAGUACGCUGUCGAAAAAAGAGAAAUCAGUAGGAUAUAUAGGAGCCUACCAGAAUUAGGAGAUUAUUGGUAGCCUAAGCUGCAGUGUCUAGCUUUCUCUUCCUAUGGUCAAGUUCGCUUUUGCUUCCUCUCUCUCCGCUUUGCCAGCAUCUUUCCAAUCCUUCCUUACUGGUAUAACUCUUAGACUUUCCAAUCCUUCCUUACUGGUAUAACUCUUAGACUCUACGCUGAUCCUCCCUAUAGAAGUUAUCAGACUGAGCCUCCCUAUAGAAGUCUUAGGACGAGAACAAGCAAGCAAUUAUUAGUAUCUAGUAUCUUAGGACGAGAACAAGCAAAGAGUAAUCAACGUCUUAGAUACAGCGCAAACAAGCUUAGGGUAGGUGGGCAGCUGAACAAGCAAGUGGUGGAGAACAAGCAAGUGGAGCUUUCUGUAAACUGGAGUUAGAGCCGUAGGAUAAGUUCCAUUGGAGAUUUGUAUCGAGCAUUACCCCCUGUAGAAAGAAUGGAAUCAAUAAGAGCAAGGACGAAACAGUGCCCUGUACAAAAGGACUUAAACUGAGAAGUCAGAAUAAGCUAAGCUACUGACCCUAACGAAUAGAACAGAACAGGUGCUUAUACUACGGUAUAGAACAGAACAGGGUGCUUCUACCACGUUAACUCGAUAUAGGGAAGCCAACUAUACUACCUAUAAGCAUGAAUCUGGGAACUCCUUCUUUAACACUGGGACAUAAACCCGGCUUUCCUGUCUUUUCUUCUUGUGAUCCCGCCCUUGAUUACUAUGUUAGAGUUCGGUCUUCUACUGUUUAUCCUCAUUCCUUAUUCCUAUUGGUGUACCUGCUCAUUGGUGUAUGAGUUUACUGCAUAAGGUAUCUCAUAAGGUAUAUUCUCAGAAUAUCAUAAGGUAUAUUCUCAUCAAAAUAAUCGUAGUAUAAGGAAGGAGCAAGGGUUAGCAAGUAAGACUAUAAGAAGGUAGUUCCAGACUGACUUUUAUAUGAUGGCUCAAUACAAGAAGAAAGCGUUGCUUGGGAGUAAGCAAGGGUUCAAGACGGUCGAGUCAUACUUGGAGUGAACCUUAGAGACACGAGUGGAAGAGUAGUAGUUAUAGGAGUUGGGGUUGGAGAAUGAGAAUAGAAGCGAGGGUGCCCCAGGUUCAUUCUGAUGCUUGGGACUAGUUUUGUGACUACUGGAGUGGCCCCUUCUUUUGCUACUUAGUUUGACUCUUUUUCUUAUGGCUCUUUUCCUUUUAGCAACCAAAGGAUCCACUUUGAAUCCCAGGGAGCAGUUUAAGACUUGAGUCAAAUAUUACAUAAUACAAAUAAGGGUAGUAAGCCCCCGAGAAGCACUAGUCGCAGCCUGAGGUACAGGGAUAGUUAGGCUGUUAGCGCUGGACAGGGGGACAGAUUUGAGAUCAGUAUUAGUGGACUGAAUUUCCGUAUGAGAUCAGUAGUCUGUUGACUUAAUGGUAGUAGCGACAUACUUAUAUAGAGGAGAUAUGUAUUGGGAUGAAGCAGUCCUGUCCUAGAAUCAAAGACAGGAAAGUAAGGGCAGCUUUAGCUGGCUGCUGGCUGGUAGUUCCACUCUUUCCGGUAGUAUUUCCAUUAUUAUUAUAUUCCUCCCCUCUGGGGUGUCAGUUUCCAAGCAAGUAGCGGUAGACUUUGUUUAUAAAGCGUUUCCCAGUCUCAUACGCCGGGUUUCUAUUCUCCUAGGGGCAAGAUCAAUUCUAUAUUCUUCUAUUUAUUCCAAUGGGCAUUCCUAUAGUUGUGAGUUCACAGUCACCAAGCUACUACAGUUUAAGAGCCAACUACUCGUUUACUAGUUGGGGCCAAAAGCAGGUUAACUCUUUACUACUCUACUACUAGUUCUAUUACUAUAUGCGGGCAAAGUCACUACUAGCUUAACUUAAAUGUGAACAAACCCUCCAGAGCGAGUCCUUCCUUCUCCUUCAUCGGCUAAUGCGAGUUCUUUAGCUAACGGAGCUUAACGUUACUUGCUUAACUCUACAGAAGCGCCCGAGCGGAGCAGCUAUUCCUUUCUGCUUGCAGGCUUUGGCGUUCACUAAUGAAGAAACACCUCUGGAACUAAUUAAUAAACUCUCUCUCUUUAGACUCUCUCUCUUGCCUUGCCUUUGAUUAUUGCCUUCUUUCUUUCUUCCUUCUCUUCUUCAUCGGUAAGUAAAUCAGUGUCAUCCAUCGUAUCUAGAAUCUGGAAUGCUUAGCGACGCCCACUAUGCGGUAUACAACUUAUUAGGCAAACAAAGAGUGUGAUAAAGAAGAAAGGGCAAAAGCUACGGACUCAAUGGAGCUCCUGCCAGAACAACUUCCGCUGUUGAACAAACACAGCACAGCAUUGCUUCAUAAUAUCUAAUAUGGGCAGGGCAGCCUCCCCCUAGCUUAAAGUAUAGAAUUCUGUCCCUUGUGCUUUCAAAAGUCCUAUAUUAUUGCACCCUUGCUGUCAAGUUACAGAAUUGGAGCCCUAGCUUUCAAGUAGCUUUUCAAGUACAUAAUUAUUGUCCUAGCUAGCUUAUUGUGAAGAGAGUUUACAGUUCCAUUGCUUUCAGGUAAAGGUUCGGCAUUGCUUGUUGAGAAAGCUUUUUUCAUCGAGUUUUGUUUGAGUAUGGUAUGGGUGUUUUAGAAGGCAAAGGCAGUAAGUAAAGGAGAGUUCGAGUUCAAGUUGCAAGAGCAGAGCAGGAUAUGAGGCUUGAUCAGGAGAAUCCGUUGGAGAGUUAGGAUCUUGAGUAGGAACAGAAGCGGAAUGCCCAGAUGAAGCGCGGUGCGGGUUCUUCACAGAAAGUCUUGUUCGGGUGUUUAAGAAUCAUCGGGCUUUGAAACAGAAGCUGUAGACUCAGGAGCAGUUACUAGAGGAAAUGAUGUUUCAGUUCUAAAGUAAAGGUUCGGGUAAGUAAAGUACUCAUACCUCUAUUACGGGUAUAAAGUCAAAGUGCUAAAGUCAGGAUCAACAGAAUAAUAAGUGUUCGGGUAUUCUUCUAUAGCGCAUCUUUCGAAUUCAUAUUAGUCUAAUUAAGAAUUCAAUAAGGUAUUCCAAUGGCGCAUGGUUUGUUACCCAUAUCUAUCAUACCUGGAAAAUGAUUCUUCUGGCCGACUACUACUCUGGAAAGGCCCUUACCCGGGCGAGCAACUACGAAAGAAACAAAGAGAAUAAUAAUUAGUUGCAUCUUAAAUCCUAUCUCUCCAGCCUUUGACUGUUCCCCUCCGCCCUUGCUUUUCAUACACCUUACUACCUCCGUCCUUGCUUUGGUUCUGACUUUUCUUAUUCUUAUUCUAGUACUACUCACUUUGAUUCUUGAACUAUGGAUUCGGAUCCUAUGCUCGACUAUGGAGUAUGUGACCCCUGCCUCAAAGUCUUCCUUUUGAUCGCCGCCAAUAACUAGCUCACUCUUAAACUAAUGCUAACAGGGCUAUGGCUCACAACUAGGGAAUUGAGUUACUCCCGACAAUACUUUCCUGUAGUACACUUAAGCAUACCUGUACUGAUGAGAAGCCAACUACUACUAAUAAGGAUCAAUAUGGGAACUCAGACUUACUCGUUAGCCCACCGCUCCUAUCUGGAAUUCUGAAGUUACUAGCUGGUUCUUUCAACCCCAACAAAACAAUACUAAAGACUAUUGCACGUUACAAAGAAGAGUUUGUAUUCAACUGCUUUCUUGUAUUCCCGAUUCCGAUCUGGUGUAUUGAGUUUAAGCCCUCCAUGCCCUAUUUAGAAUCUCUUAUGCGCCUUAACAUUCCUAAAUUCCAGUGAAAGCCUUAUUCCUAAAUUCCAGUGAAAGCCUUAUUAUUGCCAUUAUUGCGGAUUAUCGGUAUUCUUAUUAGUAUGCUUUGUCCGGUAUCCUUGCCAAAGAGUUCAUCGACGCCCCUACUGGUUGAUUCAUAUUCUAGCUAACUAGGAAUUGAGCACUGCCCACCUACCCUAGAUUGAGCCACUGUUCUUAUAGACUCGAACUCAGAACUAGGUGCUGAAAGCCUACUGACAACAAGGAGCGAACGUGCCCUAGUAGACUAAACAAAAAACGGGAAUCCAAUCCUGCUAACAAGCCUGCUGCUACUGAACUUCAAGCUGCUCUUCCUUACAUCUAAAUCUGACUUUUGACUUGAUUUCAAUCUCAAACUAGUGCUUCUCAUAAUAAGAGGAGCUACCGGCGACACGGCUUUCACUUCUCUGCUAUAAAUGGCACUUCCCCUAAAGCCUAUUAGGCUGCUCUUCCUUACUUAUAUUCUUCAACUGA